rnacentral:lncRNA from 1 species
GGGAGAACUACUCCCUCCUCGUCAUGGAGAGCACCGGGAUAACGAAGAUGGCCACCGGAGAAGGAUUCCCCCUCCGGCAGGGUGCCGAAACGAGUCUAGAUGGACUUUCGGUGGCUACGGAGGCUUCUGGCGGCGGAACUCCCGAUCUAUUGUUUGUUAUGGAAGUUUUAGGGUACGUGAGUAUAUAUGGGUGUAGGAAGUACGUCGGUGGAGCUUCGGGGGCCCCACAAGGCAGGGGGCACGCCCUAGGGGGGGCGCGCCCCCACCCUCGUGAGCACCUUCCUUGGCUCCUGACGUGGGGUCCAAGUCCAUCCGGUAGCUUUCCUUCCAAAAAUAACUUCUCCGGUUGAUUUCGUUCCGUUUCAACUCCGUUUGAUAUUCCUUUUCUUCAAAACACUGAAAAAUAGGCAAAAAAAACAGCAAUUCUGGGCUGGGCCUCCAGUUAAUAGGUUAGUCCCAAAAAUAAUAUAAAAGUGGAUAAUAAAGCCCAAUAUUGCCCAAAACAGUAGAUAACAUAGCAUGGAGCAAUCAAAAAUUAUAGAUACGUUGGAGACGUAUCAAUCAGCAUCCGAGAAUCCAACUAGAUCAAACUCUGAGCCCUUUGGAUACCAUAAUCCUAGUGUUGGGGUGUAAGCCAAAUAUCGAAGAAUUCGCUUCACAGCUAAGUGAUGCAAUUCGCUUCACACAUGAUAUCUGGCCUAGAUGCACAUAAAUAAAGCAAAGAACCAAUCAUGGAGCGGUAUACCUUUUGAUCAAACUCUUUACCAUUGGCGUCAGAAUCCAGAUGACUCUUGGUAGGCAUUGACGUUGUAUAACCCUUCCAGUCUUGCAUUCCAAACUUCUUCAGGCAAUCUUUGUGGUAUUUUUCUUGAGAUAUGAAAAUGCCGUUGAGUUGCUGUCGUAUUUGAAGACCAAGGAAGAACUUUAGCACACCCAACAUGGACAUCUGAUAUUGCUCUUGCAUCAUGUAUCCAAACUCAUCACUGUAUUUCUGAUUGGUGCAGCCGAAGAUAAUGUCAUCCACAUAUAUUUGGCACACAAACAGUUCACCAUCAUAUGUCUUCGUGAAGAGAGUGGGAUCCAGGGAACCAGGUUUGAAGCCUUUGCUCUUCAGGAAGUCUUUGAGUGUGUCAUACCAAGCACGAGGGGCUUGUUUGAGGCCACGCAGUGCCUUGUUGAGCUUGUAAACCAUGUCAGGAUGUUUUGGAUCUUCAAAGCCAGGCGGUUGUGCAACAUACACUUCUUCUUCAAUCUUGCCAUUGAGAAAAGCACUCUUCACAUCCAUUUGAUACAGAAGGAUGUGAUGAUGAUUUGCAUAGGCUAGCAGUAUGCAUAUAGCUUCAAGCCUAGCCACAAGAGCAAAUGUUUCAUCGAAGUCAAUUCCUUCAACUUGAGUGUAUCCUUGAGCAACGAGACGAGCCUUGUUUCUGACAACUUGACCAUGCUCAUCUUGCAAGUUGCGAUAUAUCCAUUUAGUGCCUAUGAUAUUGUGUUUACGAGGAUUAGGACGCUUGACCAGUUCCCAUACAUUAUUCAGCUCAAACUGUUGAAGCUCUUCUUGCAUAGCUUGAAUCCAUUCAGGUUCCAUGAAGGCUUCAUCAACUUUCUUGGGUUCAGAUAUUGAGACGAAUGCAAAGUGCCCACAGAAAUUUGCUAGUUGUGUUGCCCUUAAAUGAGUGAGUGGACCAGGUGCAUUGAUGUUAUCGACUAUAUUCUCAAUCUGUACUUCAUUUGCAACAUGAGGAUGAACUGGACGAAGAUUUUGCUCUUGCCGAUCAUUGUCAUCGUUUGAAGGAUUGUCUUCAGGCUGAGCAUUGUCUCCAGGUUGAUCAGGUGUAGAGAUGAUAAGUUCCUCUUCAGGCUGUACUUCAGACGGUAUGAUUUCUCCAAUUCCCAUAAGCUUGAUGGAUUCACUCGGUGGAAUUUCAUCUAGCACAUUUGGCAGAUGCUCUCUUUGCGAGUCGUUAGUCUCACCGAACCGCACACCCACAGUUUCAACCACUUUAUAGUGAAAGAGGUUGAAGACUCUGUAGGAGUGUGAAUCCUUUCCGUAACCAAGCAUAAAACCUUCAUGUGCUUUCGGUGCAAAUUUUGAAGUGUGAUGUGGAUCCUUGAUCCAGCACCUGGCACCAAAUACUCUGAAGUAACUGACGUUUGGCUUCUUACCAGUGAGGAGUUCAUAGGAUGUUUUCUUCAUAAGCUUGUGAAGAUAAACACGAUUGAUGACAUGGCAUGCAGUAUCAAUAGCUUCAGGCCAAAACUUCCUUGGAGUCUUGUAUUCAUCGAGCAUCGUCCGAGCCAUCUCAAUGAGUGUUCUGUUCUUGCGUUCCACGAUGCCAUUCUGCUGAGGCGUGUACGGAGCUGAGAACUCAUGAGUGAUGCCCAAUGUAUCAAGAUAAGUGUCGAGGCCGGUGUUCUUGAAUUCAGUGCCAUUGUCACUUUGGAUGUGCUUGAUCUUGACGCCAUAGUUGUUCAUGGCUCGAUUGGCGAAGCGUCUGAAGACAUCCUGCACUUCAGUCUUGUAGAGGACUAUAUGCACCCAUGUAUAUCUUGAAUAAUCAUCAACAAUGACGAAACCAUAGAGACAAGCAGUAGUAGUGAGGGUUGAGUAGUGAGUAGGGCCGAAGAGGUCCAUGUGUAGCAGUUCGAAGGGUUGAGUCGUUGUCAUGAUUGUCUUUGAGGGAUGCUUGGCCCUCGUCAUCUUUCUAGCUUCGCAGGCACCGCAUAAGUGAUCCUUCUUGAACUUGACGCCCUCGAUGCCUAUGACAUGCUUCUUCUUUGCAAGAGUGUGCAAGUUCCUCAUGCCAGCAUGCCCUAGCCUCCGAUGCCAGAGCCAGCAUUCUGAAGCUUUUGCAAGAAGACAUACGGCAAGCUGUGGUCCUGCUGAGAAAUCUACCAUGUACAAAUCAUCUUUCCGAUACCCUUCAAAGAGUAGAGACUUGUCAGAUUCCAUUAGAAAUAGGCAACGAUAUUUUCCAAAUAUCACAAUCAUGUUCAAAUCGCAAAGCAUUGAGACGGAUAUUAAGUUGAAACCAAGAGAUUCAACAAGCAUCACUUUAUCCAUGUGCUGAUCCUUUGAGAUUGCAACUCUACCUAGACCCAAUACCUUGCUUUUACUAGUAUCAGCAAAUGUGAUGUGACUUUGUCAGAUGGACGUGAGGUUGAGUCCAUGAGAAGACUUCGCUUGCCAGUCAUGUGAUUAGUACAUCCACUAUCAAUAAUCCAUUCUGAAGCAGCUGGUGUCAUACCCUACAGUGCAGUUAGGGGGAUAGGCUUCACAAAGAGAAUUGUGAAGCAUAAACAUUUGACGAGCAAGAGGAUUAUUAAAGCUUAGAUCGAGGUUAGGACUGAUAGGGCAAGUAGCAAGCGACUCGGGAACAAAAUACAUAAUAAGACCAUUUGGGCAUUUGAUCUUGCGCCCUACAAGAUGUUUAAGGUCCCCAGCAAUAGCUUCAAACGCAUUUGAGUUUUGGCUGGAGACCUUUCCCUGCAAAAGAGAGUUAAGCUUUCUUAGCCACCCACAUCUUCAAGGGUGGCUUCAAAGCAAUGAGUCUAAGUGCAGCAUCUGAGAACUUUCGCUUUGGAGCCCUAGCAAAUAGUCUUGCAGGUGGACAAUAGUACUCAUAAGAAUAAGCAGAGUAGUUCUGGGUCUUAUGAACAUGGCAUUUGAUGAAACAUGCUCGUAUUCAUAGGCCUGAGUACGGUUUCCCUGCAAAACAUUUGAGUUAGUGCGACUCAGGUGAGUCCUCUGUCUGUAUGAAGCAUUUGGACCAUAUGAAGCCUGUGGUCUGGGGUUUGUCUUCUUCACUUGUGGUGUCAUGACGACAUUCACAGGAAGAUUCUCCAGACACUUUUUCGGCACCCAGACUUUCUUCAUAGGUGGCCCAUUUCUGCAGUUAGUUCCAAUGUACAUGGUAAACACUUCACCAUUCUAAUUCUUAAACAGUUUAUAGUUUGCAUCAAAGGAUUCAUCAAUGACAAUGGGAUUAGCACAAGUGAAGCCAGAUAGGGUGGAUGGAUCCACUGAAGGUUCCUUUGCAGCAACCCAUGUGGUUUUGGGGUACUGCUCAGGUUUCCAGUAAGAGCCAUCAGCAUUCAUUUUCCUUUCGAACCCAACACCCUCUUUCCUAGGGUUUCGGUUCAGGAUCUGCCUUUUGAGGAGAUCACAUAGUGUCUGAUGCCCUUUGAGACUUUUGUACAUCCCUGUUUCAAGCAAUGUCUUCAACCUAGCAUUUUCAUCAGCAAUAGCAGUGGCAUCCUUGGCAGAGGGGUUAGUUACCACAUCAACAGUUGAAGAUAUUGCAACAGUAGCAACAGUAGAACAUCCAGCAACAGAAGUAGCAUUGUCACGCUCAAUGCAUUUAAGACAUGGUGGUUCAAAUCCUUCCUGAGCGGAACUGAUCUGUUUGGCGCGAAGUGACUCGUUUUCCAUUUGAAGAUCUUCAUGAGCCGCUCUCAAUUUCUCAAGAUCUUGCUUCCUUUGAAGAUAAUCAUAGGAAAGCUUUUCAUGAGUUGUUGAGAGCGUUUCAUGACGACUUUCAAGUUCCUCAUACUUAACAUGAAGAUUUUUAUGUCUUCAAUUAAGGACUAAGAUCGAGUCAUUUCAGCGUCUAACAGGUCAUCGCUUUUGUCUAACAGUUUUUGAAUAUGUUCCAUAGGUUUCUGUUGUUCAGUUGCAAUUUUAGCAAGUGUUUUGUAGCUGGGUUUGGAACCACAAUCAGAGUCAUCUUCACUGGAUGUUUGAUAGUGAGUAGUGCGUGAGUUUACCUUGGCACCGCGUGCCAUGAAGCAGUAGGUGGGAGCAGAGUUGUCCUUGUCAUUAGCAUCGGCGUCAGUGAUGGAGUCAGUGUCUUCAGUGUUGAAGAUGGACUUGGCAACGUAGGCUGUAGCCAGACUUGCAACGCUAGAAUCAGACUCCUCCUCAGACUCCACCACCGUCUCCUCAGAAGCAGACUCCUCCUUUGAAUCCAUUUCCUUGCCAACAAACGCACGAGCCUUGCCAGAUGAGCUCUUCUUGUGUGAUGAAGACUUUGAGGAAGACUUGGAAGAAGACUUUUAGUAUCUCUUCUUCUUCUUGUCGUCAGAAUCAUAUUCCUUGCUCUUCUUCUUGUUGUUGUUCUCAUUGUCCCAGUGCGGACACUCAGAGAUGUAGUGACCAGGUUUCUUGCACUUGUGGCAUGUUCUCUUCUUGUAGUCGUGAGCAGAAGCUUCAUCAUUCCUUGAGCUGGAUCGUGAGGACUUUCUGAAGCCUUUCUUCUUGGUGAAUUUAUGGAACUUCUUCACAAGCAUAGCAAGCUCCUUUCCAAUGUCUUCAGGAUCAUCAGAACUGCAGUCAGAUUCUUCUUCAGAUGAGGAAACAACUUUUGCCUUCAAGGCAUGACUCCGGCCAUAGUUGGGACCAUAGAUGUCUCUUUUCUCAGAAAGCUGAAACUCAUGUGUGUUGAGCCUUUCAAGUAUGUCAGACGGAACGAGUCUCUUGAAGUCAGGGCGUUCUUGAAUCAUCAGGGCUAGGGUGUCAAACGAGCUGUCAAGUGAUCUCAGGAGUGUCUUGACGAUUUCAUGCUUGGUGAUCUCAGUAGCACCGAGAGCUUGAAGCUCAUUUGUGAUGUCAGUGAGUCGAUCAAACGUGAGCUAAACAUUCUCAUUGUCGUUUCUCUUGAAGCGGUAGAAUAGGUUGCGAAGGACACUGAUGCUUUGAUCUCUCUGUGUUGAGACGCCUUCGUUGACCUUGGAGAGCCAGUCCCAGACUAGCUUGGAUGUUUCCAGAGCACUCACACGGCCAUACUACCCUUUGGUCAGAUGACCACAGAUGAUAUUCUUGGCAGUGGAAUCCAGUUGAACAAACUUCUUGACAUCAGCAGUGGUGACACCUUCACCAGCCUUGGGGACGCCAUUCUUGACGACAUACCAGAGGUCGACAUCAAUGGCUUCAAGAUGCAUGCGCAUCUUAUUCUUCCAGUAGGGAUAUUCAGUUUCAUCGAAGACGGGGCACGCAGCGGAGACUUUGCUUAUCCCUGCAGUCGACAUAGCUAAAACUCCAGGUGGUUAAACCGAAUCACAUAGAACAAGGGAGUACCUUGCUCUGAUACCAAUUGAAAGUGCUAGUGAUCGACUAGAGUGGGGUGAAUAGGUGAUUUUUAUGAAAGUCUUCAAAACAUGGAAGUUUCGAAGACAAACGAUAGAAAUAAACCUAUUACCAUGCAGCGAAAGAUAGACUACACUAGGCAAGCCAUAGUCAAGUAUUCAAUGAAGUGAAAGCACAAAGACUAAUAGCAGCUAGGCAGUAUAGAUCAGGAUGGAAGAUAGUAUGAAGCCAAUCAGAACAAGCAGUCACUCAGUGAAGACAAAAAUAUAAUGCAAACAGGCAAUGACUUCACAAGGACCAACUGCAAAUAAAGAGAUGGGAAGGAUAGAACCAGUGGCUCGUUGAAGACAAUGAUUUGUUGGACCAGUUCCAGUUGUUGUGACAACUGUACGUCUGGUUAGGGAGGCUGAGAUUUAACUCAGAAGACCGCGUCUUCACCUUAUUCCCCUUGAGAUAAGGACACCCAGUCCUCGCCCAAUCACUCUGGUAAGUCUUCAAGGUAGACUCCCAAACCUUCAUAGACUUCGUUCACCGGCGAUCCACAAUGACUCUUGGAUGCUCAGAAUGCGACACCUAACCGGCUGGAGGAUUCACAGUCCUCAAGUAUAAUAAGUCUUCAGAUCACACAGACAGGAAGACUUUAGUGAUGCCUAGCACUCUUUGGCUCUGGGUGUUUAGGGCUUUGUCCUCGCAAGGAUUUCUCUCUCAAAGGCUUUGAGGUGGGUUGCUCUCAAACGACAAAAGCCGUGCACUAACUCUGAGCAACCAACCAAUUUAUGGUGUAAGGGGUGGGCUAUUUAUAGCCACUAGGCAACCCGACCUGAUUUGUCCGAAAUGACCCUGGGUCACUCAGGAACUGACACGUGUUCCAACGGUCAGAUUUCAAACACACACGGCAACUUUACUUGGGCUACAAGCAAAGCUGACUUAUCCAGCUCUGGAUAAGAUUUGCUCUCAUUGUCUUCGCUCGAAGACAUAGGAUUUUGGUUAAGCAUCACUUCAGUCAUUCUGACUGGUUCACUUGGACCCCACUUAACAGUACGGUGGUUCCUAUGACUCAACAAAGAAGGAAAGGAAACAACAAAACAACUAAGUCUUCGCGCUCCAUAGUCUCCACUCAAUGUCUUCUCUUUUCAUAGUCUUCAAUGUGAAUUUCUUCACAUACCACCUUUGUCUUCAAUGUCUUCAUACAUUUUUAGGGGUCAUCUCCGGUAGGAAAAUCGAAUCAAUGAGGGCCUUCUACCUAUGUUAUACUGCAAUUCUCACAAACACAUUAGUCCCUCAACCAGGUUUGUCAUCAAUACUCCAAAACCAACUAGGGGUGGCACUAGAUGCACUUACAAUCUCCCCCUUUUUGGUGAUUGAUGACAAACUGGUUGAAGUUUUCAACGGGGAUAAAAGCAUGUGAAAUUGUAAAGGAUUUAAGUAUUGUCUUCGUAAGUAGCAGAAAGGCUCCCCCUGAAGAUGUGCAUAUAAGUAUUUUGCUUUGAAUGAAAAUGUACAUGGCAGUUUGUACUUGCGGAGCUCCUCGUCUACUUAUGAAGACAAUUUAUCACGCAUGAACAGAUAUAACAAAGAUAAUGACAUGCAUAAAGAAAAAUGGACGUCUGCAAAAUGACUUCGUGCGGAAUUUAUCGCCGCACAUGCGGAAUUUAUCAUCGCAUCACAGAGUGUCGAAAAGGUAGCAGAUGACCAACAAGUUUAAGACAACUCAAAACGAACAAGUUUGAAAAGCGAGAGUUGUAAGAACUUGGCAAAUGUAGCAAAAGUAAAGCAACCACCCAUAUGGACCCGCUUGAAGACUAUCAACUCAUAUGCUUCUCCCCCUUUUGUCAGUAAGGACCAAAAAGGUUGGAAGACAUAGAGCUUCUACUCGUUCCCAUGAGAAGUAGGCGAAGCAGCAGGGUCGUCGUUGAGGUCCGGUGGUGUAGAAGAACUUGGUGCAGUGUCGACAUGCGCUGAAGGUGGAGGUGGUGAAGUGGCAUCAUCUUGAUCAUCUAUGACUCUGGCAUUCACCGUUGCAGCUGAGGAAGAAUAGUCAGAGUCUUCAAGUGAUGGAGUCCGACGCAAGUGAGCAUUCCUUGGAGGAGUGGAGUCAAACUUGAAUCUUUCUGUGAAGCCAUCAUCUUGAAGAUCUGCUUCAGCAGUGAGCAAUGUCAAACUCUUCCAGGACCUCCAACAAGUUUCAUGUGUAACAAAGGCAUUCUUGGUGGCAAGAUUGCGAAUGCGAUUGACGUCCACCAAGAGGCUUUGCAUCUGACGCUUAAGCCAGUCAUGAUGCUUAUCCUGUUUCUGAUGUAGAGUGACGAGAAGCUCUCCGUCAUUGAGAACACGAGAUCGCUUCUGAGGCCUUUGGGCAAUGGUGCUUCCAGUGGCUUCAGUUUGGGCGCGAGGGGCACAUGUGUUGCCAGCCAAGGGAUAAACACGAGAGACGGCCUAAACUCCUUCAAUGGGAUGGGUGAAGCUUUGACGAUCAACAUUGUGAAGAUAAACUGGCUCCUGUGCAGGCUCUGGGUAAAUAGCUUCAACAGACAGAUCAACCUCUGGCAAGAAUACUAGAUGAUUGCGCGCAGACGGCUGAUAGUUGAAGGCAGAGUGAAGCUUGAUAAGACGCAUUACCCAUGGAGCAUAGAACUUCAGACCAAAGAUGUCGGAGCCAGAUGCAGCCAACUGCCUGAUGAAGAAGUCUUGAGCAUUGAAGCUGAUGCCAUUGAAAAUAUAGAAAACCAAAUUCUUCAUUGCUCCUUCAAGCUUCGCUGCAGAUGAAUGUCCUUUGAUAGGCCAUAGAGUUUUUCUGAUGAUAUGGUAAAUGGUGCGGGGCAGAUACUCUAGGUAUUCGACAAAGAAUUCCGUUGGGUAUUCAGCGUCGUGUGGCAGAGGCUUCAUCAUGCUCAGCAUUUGGCUCAUGUUAGGCUCUGGCUUCUGGAAAAUGCUCUCCAAAGCAUUCUGGUGUUGUUGACAACCUGGUUCAUAAUAUUCGCCAGGAGUGGGCAGGGUUGUAAGCUCAAUGAUGUCUUGGGCUUUAGCUUCAUGAUGGACAUCGCCCGUCAUCCACUCAAGGAUCCAAGUCUUCGGAUCCCUGUUGUAUCCACGAAUGUGGAGGGUAGCAUAGAACUGAAGCAGAAGUUCUUCAUUCUAGUGUUCCUUGGCAGUCACAAAGUUGAGCAGACCCGCAUCACAGAAGCAGUCAAGGGCUUCUUCAAGGCAUGGCAGUCCAGCAAUGGCUUCACAAUCAAGACGCAUAUGUGGGAAGAUGCGCCCCUGAUUGUACAAGAUGCAAGAAUAGUAGCUUCGCUGGUGAUAACUCCAGAAUCGAUCUGAGGAGAUUCUUGGCCUUGUGUAGGGAUUCUUGUCACUGUCAAAGAAUGUGUUGUGUGCCUUGAAUCCAUUCAGAUUAAACAAUCCUGGUGACAUUGCAGUGCCUGGGAACCGUGGUAGCCUUGGCUUUGGCUUCUGGACCUGAGACCUGUGCUCCACAUGAUAGGCAAAUUGAGGUCCGGGAGCAGGCAGAGGAACCAGAAUUGGCCAGCGGACUGUAACAAGCUGACCACGAUCAUAUGCUUGCUCGAUGGUGUGUGGCCUGGGAGGUGGUAUAGGAGCAGAGGCAUUGGCUUCAAGCUGCAGAUUUGCAUCAUGUGCAGCAUAAGCUUCAGGUACAGCAACUAGCACCACAUUAGCUUCAGACGCCACAUUAGCUUCAGUCAUGACAACGUCAUUGGCUUCAGUGUUGGUGGCAGCCUCAGUAUUGGUAACCUCCACUUCAGGAGCUGGAGGGUCAGACACGUUCUCCUCGAGAACAACUUCAGGGUUGGACGGGGGUGUAGCUACUCUUUCUUCAUCUCUUGGUUCUUCUUCUUGAUCAUCAGCUGAUGCAGCCGGAAUAUCUUCAGCCGUUUUGACUUCAGAUUCAGGGAUGUUCGCAGUAGGAGAGGCUUCAGGAAAGACUUCGCGUGAAACGUAUUGGCGCUCUUCUCCUUCUGGAACACUUGACAAUGUGACCUGUGGCCUUGGUCCUUUGCGAAGCCCGCGAAACGCUGGCGACGCCUGUGGAGAUGGAGUUGGUCGGGCCUCAAGGUCUUCAUUGUCAAUCACUGGAGUGGUGACCUGGGUUGGGGGAGUAACUGGUGUUUCUUCAUCAUGAGGGGAUUCUUGUGGGUGAUCAGCCCAUGAGUCAUCCUGAGCAAUUGGCGUCAAUGGAAGACCAAUGCUGAUGAGUUCGUUGUUCGUGAGAACAGGCGAUGAUACCAAAUUAUGCUCGAUCUAAGGAAGGACUUCAUCAUCUUCAACAUUGUCUUGAUGACCAAUGUCUUCAGCUGCAGUGGGGUCAACAGCUGGAAUCUCUUCAGCUUCAGGAGCCUCUGUGGAAGCAGGCUCAUGAACUACCAAACGACGUUCUUUAUGUGCAGAGGAAGGACGAGCAACAUAAAUUGGCUCGACAACAAGAGGCUCUGUGGAAGCAGCCCGGUCUCUCUUCUUUGUUUUUCUUUUCUUGGUUGGUGGAGCAUCAUUAGUGGUGGCUUUGGUAUUACGCUUUCUGGCUUCGGCUUCAGCUGCUCUAGUUUUCUUGAACUCCGAAGCCACUAUGGGGACCUUAGGCUUCGAGCCUGUCAUACUGGCCGAGAAGACAAUGCGAGGUUCUUCCUACCUUGAUGCUUCUGGUUUGGCCACAGCUGGCUUCUUCUUCUUCUUGGCAGCCAUUCUGGGGUCGAUGCCUGGUCGCCCCAAAGCCUUGCGCUUUUUAGCUUCAUUGUAGCCUUGAACACAUUUGGCAGCAAGAUUCUUCAUGCGCUCACGAGAACCUUUUGCUUCUUCUCGUUUCUUGUGGAAUGCCUCCUUGAGCUCAUGCAUCAUGACCUUGAAGUUUUGAAUGUCUUCAACAUUGAGCUUGGCCAUGUGCUUCUUGAACUGAGCCUUUUCAUAGUCAAUCUUGUGCUUCAGCUCAACAAUCUUCUGGGCAAGAGCCAGCUCAGGAGCAAUGGCUCCAUGGAAGGAGACGCUGAGGCCAAUUGGGAGCUGAAGAUCAUCAAAACUGAGGUCUGGGCUGUCAAACCACUCAUCAAUAAACUUGUACAGAAUCUCCACAUCAAAGAGGGGAAGAUCAUUGAAGAUUUCCACCUCUUGCUUGCUCUUUAUCAAUUGCUCAAGAGCGUCAUCGCCAAGAUCGUCGUCGCUAGACAGAUCAAUGGCGUCAUUCUCGUUUCCCAAAACAGCAACAGGAGUCAAUGCUUGACCAGUUGGUUGCAUGGGCUUUUUCAACUUGUCAGACUUGGAGAUGCGAGAAAGAUUUUCAGACUGCACACUGGCUUCAGGAGGUGCAGUGGCCAGAGGCUUCGCCCGUGAGACCUUUGGUGCAGAGGAGGGCUUUGAAGCCUUUGGUUUCUUUUGCUUCACAGGCUUCGGUGGUGCGGGCGCUUCGUCAGAAUCAGAGUCAUCUACAAAGUGGUCCACGGCUGCCCCUUGAACCUGAAUGUGAGUUAUGAGACCUUCUAAGUUGUAGAAGGGCCCAACAAGAUUGGGUUCAGCUUCGCGUGUACCGUCAGCACAGGGCACAGAGGGGCCUGGGUUGAAGUCUAAUCCCAAAGACUUCUUGUUUUCCUUGGCCGAGUUCUUUGCAGACUGAUAGUUGCGCUUGAACAGAUUGUCAUCUCGACACCAUAGCAAUGACGAUGGGUCGGCAUCAGUAGGUUGUGGCCCUCGGACCAUGCAAGGGUAAAAUCCUUGAGCAAUGGCUUCAGUUCUGGUCUUGGGUUGAAGAUUUUUAUAGAGAAUAUCUCCCCAAGGAUGCGAGAGGGCAUUCUUUUCAGCAUACUCCUUGGUGACGCAUCUGUACUUGAACCAUUGCUCGGCCCAGUAUCUUCGAAUCCAUUGGAUUCGUGUCUUGCGCUGACCAUAGCUUUCUUCGGGGUCAGUUUUGUAUAGUUCAUAGAGAUCUUUGGACAGGUCCAUUGAUGUACCCUCACGGCGCUGUCUGCCACCCUUCCUUGCUGAUUUCUCUUUAGCCAUGAAGUUUAGACUGAAAGGCUUCAACACUGUCAAAGUCUUAAGUCUACUGGUCAGAUAGGAACUAGCUUCAGGAGAAAUUAUGUGAUGUUGUAAGAACUCUGCAAAUGAAUGCAGACUAUGAGAACCAAGGGAUUCUCCCACAGACAUGUACCUGUGACAGCAUUAGAGAUGUGAGGGAAGGGGAAGAGGUCAUAUGCAUUCUUAGAAGAUUUUGAAGAUAAAUCAGUUUAGAAGACAUUGACCUCAUAGUGCAAAGACAUUCACUCAUAUGUAGAGAGUUGGUUCCAGAUUUGUACGAAUGCACGAAUAAGUACAAGUGAGGAAUCUAACUACUUUAUGAAGCAUAAGUGAACAUACUAGGCAUGCCAUGAGAUGCAGAACAUGAUAGAUCCAGCUUUGUAGCAACAGAAACCACUUGUGGUUGAAAAGGAUGAAUCUAUCGGAUCAAAAAGACUGUAAAAAGAGUUUUUAUUUACCACUUGAGGAACUGCUCGACAGAGUAGGAGAUGAGGCCGAGCAGUUCGAUCUUCCGUGCCCUAACUUGGCGACGGAGGACACCUACGGCGACGGCGGAGGAGAUGAUGUCCAUGGCCGGCGUGAGGACGGCGUCGGUGAGGUCGCGGCAGCUAAGCGCUUUGUCGUCGGUGUCAUCGAGGCCUAGCGGUGGCGCUAGGGUUUGUGCGAGAGAGAGAGAGAGAGAGAGAGAGAGAGAGAGAGAGAGAGGUGGAAGAAGAGAUAAUGACUGGGGUGAGGCGUGUAUCUAUAGGGACAGGGACGGCACAGCGUUAUUACGCAGGUGCCCCUGGCGGUUCACAUCUGAAGGACACGUGGCGAUCAUGCAACACAUCAGAGGUUGUUCCACGUUCCCACGUAUGCCUGGAUUGUCGGGUGGUCGUUCCCACUUCUCCGGGUUUCAGGUAAAAAGGAUUGAGCAUUGAAAACAAAUUAAUGUUUGUCUCUGUAUCUUCUGCUGACAAGGACGCAGAGAAGACAUUCAACAGUUUCAAUAGAAUGCAUAUGAUUUGGAUAUAUAGAUUUGAGACGGGAACAUAGAAAGGUUAGGGUCCGAUCACAUUCACUUAGUUCAAAAGAUUCAACUAGAAGACAUAGCUAUAAGUGAAUGUUGUAGAGGACAGAAGCCAAAUCAAUAUAUUGAAGAUAAACAUGAAGCCAUGUUAACAUUGAAGACAAACCAAAUGUGAAGACUUUGCAAAUGUAACGCCAACAGAAAGUAUUCCAAACAAAAGUUUGGUGGUGGCGUUACCCACCGUAUAGGAAGUAGUAGACCCAGACACGGCGCACAAUUAUCGUGGCGCUCCGAAGUCAAAUUCCACGUUAAUGUAUUCACAAUUAGAGUGUAAGUCUUCAUUAGUUGAAGAUAUACGUUACUUCGUGUGUUUGCACAUCUAAGUCAUCAACAUGCAUAAGUGUUAGGAUGUGUGCAUGAUCACAGGACAUUUGAGGAUUUCAAGAUAUUUAGCUCACACCGCAACUUGCAAAACAUUUUCUCAUCCAAGGGCUUUGUGAAGAUAUCUGCUAGUUGCUCUUCAGUGCUGACGUAAAUGAUAUCAAUAUCUUCCUUCAUGACAUGAUCUCUGAGAAAGUGAUGACGAAUCUGAAUGUGCUUUGUCUUCGAGUGCUGAACUGGGUUGUUGGCGAUCUUGAUAGCGCUUUCAUUGUCGCAGUAGAGUGGCACUUGCUUCAGAUGAAUGCCAUAGUCUAUGAGUGUCUGCUUCAUCCAUAGAAGCUGAGCGCAGCAAGAUCCAGCAGCAAUGUAUUCAGAUUCAGCAGUGGAGAGAGAUACACAGUUCUGCAUCUUUGAAGACCAACACACAAGUGAUCGUCCCAGAAAGUGACAUGUGCCUGAUGUAGACUUGCGAUCCACCUUGUCACCAGCAUAAUCAGCAUCCGAGAAUCCAACUAGAUCAAACUCUGAGCCCUUUGGAUACCAUAAUCCUAGUGCUGGGGUGUAAGCCAAAUAUCGAAGAAUUUGCUUCACAGCUAAGUGAUGCGAUUCCUUUGGUGCCGCUUGGAAUCGGGCACACAUGCAAACACUAAGCAUGAUAUCUGGCCUAGAUGCACAUAAAUAAAUCAAAGAACCGAUCAUGGAGCGGUAUACCUUUUGAUCGAACUCACCAUUGGCGUCAGAAUCCAGAUGACUCUUGGUAGGCAUUGGCGUUGUAUAACCCUUCCAGUCUUGCAUUCCAAACUUCUUCAGGCAAUCUUUGAGGUAUUUUUUUCUUGAGAUAUGAAAAUAUCGUUGUGUUGCUGUCGUAUUUGAAGACCAAGGAAGAACUUUAGCUCACCCACCAUGGACAUCUAAUAUUGCUCUUGCAUCAUGUAUCCAAACUCAUCACUAUAUUUCUGAUUGGUGCAGCCGAAGAUAAUGUCAUCCACAUAUAUUUGGCACACAAACAGUUCACCAUCAUAUGUCUUCGUGAAGAGAGUGGGAUCCAGGGAACCAGGUUUGAAGCCUUUGCUCUUCAGGAAGUCUUUGAGUGUGUCAUACCAAGCACGAGAGGCUUGUUUGAGGCCAUACAGUGCCUUCUUGAGCUUGUAAACCAUGUCAGGAUGUUUUGGAUCUUCAAAGCCAGGCGGUUGUGCAACAUACACUUCUUCUUCAAUCUUGCCAUUGAGAAAAGCACUCUUCACAUCCAUUUGAUACAGAAGGAUGUGAUGAUGAUUUGCAUAGGCUAGCAGUAUGCAUAUAGCUUCAAGCCUAGCCACAAGAGCAAAUAUUUCAUCGAAGUCAAUUCCUUCAACUUGAGUGUAUCCUUGAGCAACGAGACGAGCCUUGUUUCUGACAACUUGACCAUGCUCAUCUUGCAAGUUGCGAUAUAUCCAUUUAGUGCCUAUGAUAUUGUGUUUACGAGGAUUAGGACGCUUGACCAGUUCCCAUACAUUAUUCAGCUCAAACUGUUGAAGCUCUUCUUGCAUAGCUUGAAUCCAUUCAGGUUCCAUGAAGGCUUCAUCAACUUUCUUGGGUUCAGAUAUUGAGACGAAUGCAAAGUGCCCACAGAAAUUUGCUAGUUGUGUUGCCCUUAAAUGAGUGAGUGGACCAGGUGCAUUGAUGUUAUCGACUAUAUUCUCAAUCUGUACUUCAUUUGCAACAUGAGGAUGAACUGGACGAAGAUUUUGCUCUUGCCGAUCAUUGUCAUCGUUUGAAGGAUUGUCUUCAGGCUGAGCAUUGUCUCCAGGUUGAUCAGGUGUAGAGAUGAUAAGUUCCUCUUCAGGCUGUACUUCAGACGGUAUGAUUUCUCCAAUUCCCAUAAGCUUGAUGGAUUCACUCGGUGGAAUUUCAUCUAGCACAUUUGGCAGAUGCUCUCUUUGCGAGUCGUUAGUCUCACCGAACCGCACACCCACAGUUUCAACCACUUUAUAGUGAAAGAGGUUGAAGACUCUGUAGGAGUGUGAAUCCUUUCCGUAACCAAGCAUAAAACCUUCAUGUGCUUUCGGUGCAAAUUUUGAAGUGUGAUGUGGAUCCUUGAUCCAGCACCUGGCACCAAAUACUCUGAAGUAACUGACGUUUGGCUUCUUACCAGUGAGGAGUUCAUAGGAUGUUUUCUUCAUAAGCUUGUGAAGAUAAACACGAUUGAUGACAUGGCAUGCAGUAUCAAUAGCUUCAGGCCAAAACUUCCUUGGAGUCUUGUAUUCAUCGAGCAUCGUCCGAGCCAUCUCAAUGAGUGUUCUGUUCUUGCGUUCCACGAUGCCAUUCUGCUGAGGCGUGUACGGAGCUGAGAACUCAUGAGUGAUGCCCAAUGUACAUAGGAUUUUGGUUAAGCAUCACUUCAGUCAUUCUGAUUGGUUCACUUGGACCCCACUUAAUAGUACGGUGGUUCCUAUGACUCAACAAAGAAGAAAAGGAAACAACAAAACAACUAAGUCUUCGCGCUCCAUAGUCUCCACUCAAUGUUUUCUCUUGUCAUAGUCUUCAAUGUGAAUUUCUUCACAUACCACCUUUGUCUUCAAUGUCUUCAUACAUUUUUAGGGGUCAUCUCCGGUAGGAAAAUCGAAUCAAUGAGGGCCUUCUACCUGUGUUAUACUGCAAUUCUCACAAACACAUUAGUCCCUCAACCAAGUUUGUCGUCAAUACUCCAAAACCAACUAGGGGUGGCACUAGAUGCACUUACAGGUCUACAGCCAGACGCUUGGAGGCGGGGGCUAUCUGUGGAUGCAUGGCAAGAUGGUCACGUACUACCAUGCGGAGGGCGGCAAGCCGUGCGGCAGCGAACUCAGUGAUGUGUCGAUACGAGUCAAGCAAUAAGAAACACACCCAACCAAGAUACGUGUCACGCCUCUCAAACUGCUUGUUUACGUUAAUCGGUUUGGGCAUGCACCUAUUUAGUGUUUGUUCGACAGCAGGAUCAAAGUGGAAUCUUCAAGUCUUUUCAUAGGGCAGAUUCUUCUUCACGUGCUAGUAGUCGAUGAACUUGUAAGGACUACUAUGGGUUAUGUUCUUGUUUUAGGUUGUGAUGUUUGUGUUAUGUUGACUACAUCGUUCUUGUUUAUUUUCUAAGGGUAUGUCUAGGUCACAUCUAGGAUUACACCUUCUUCUUCUUCGUUUUUCCCUUUUUGCACCGUCUCCACCUAACCUCUUUUGUUAUUUAUAUCGGCUAAAAUUAAUGACUGUGCUAGCCGCCAUCGAGAUGGCCUGUCCUAUUUGAGAGUCCUCGAAUAGCGACCUAACACGUACCCCCUUGCGCGCUUGGUCCUUUGUAUGGGCUGGCCCAUUUUUGGGUUUCUUCCCCACCAGUGCCGGAAGGUUCUAGAACUUCACUGAACCGGGUUUUUUAAUUUUCCUUUAUUUUAUAUUUAUUUUUAGUUAUUUUUCUCCAUUUUUUGAACACCAUUCCAAUUCAUGAACAUUUUUUGAAUUCCCAGACAGUUUUUUCAAAACUGUGAAUAUUUUUCAAACUUGCGAACAUUUCUAAAGACUACCUUUUUUCAAACUCGUCAACAUUUUUUUAAAAUUUGAGAACAUUUUGUGUUUUGAUGAACCAUUUUUGAAAUGGAUGAGAAUUUUACGAUUUUCGAUUUUUUUUUGAAUCAUCAAUCAUUUUCUGAAGCGGUGAUUUUUCAUAUAUAUUUGGCUAAAUUUGAAAUUCACUAACAUUUUUUGAAUUUUGUGAACAUUAUUUUGAAAAAUCAUGAACAAUUUUUUAAUUAAAUAAUAUUUUUAAAUUUAUAAAUAUAUUUUUAAUCGGGAAUAUUUUUUAAUAUGUGAACAUUUUUCCAAAAUCUCAAUCAUUUUCUGAAUCCGCGAACAUUUUAAGAUUUCACGAACACUGUUCUGAAUUCACAAACAUUAUAUGAUUUGUUGAACAUUUUCCUUGAAUUUUGGAAAUUUUGUGAAUUCUUCAAUUAUUUUGAAGAAAAAAAUGAUAAAGAUAUGGGUCGUCCCGCCCCGCACAUGUGUCAGACCAAACGGGUGCNNNNNNNNNNNNNNNNNNNNNNNNNNNNNNNNNNNNNNNNNNNNNNNNNNNNNNNNNNNNNNNNNNNNNNNNNNNNNNNNNNNNNNNNNNNNNNNNNNNNNNNNNNNNNNNNNNNNNNNNNNNNNNNNNNNNNNNNNNNNNNNNNNNNNNNNNNNNNNNNNNNNNNNNNNGUAGCACCUGGUAUGGGCCAGCCCAUCACGAGGCAAUUCAGUGAAUCGCUCGCCAGCUCACGCUUGCGUACGCUUCGUUCUCUUUUAAAAAAACUAUGCUUCGUUCUUCACUAAAAAAAACGUACGCUUCAUCCUCCACUCAAAAAAACGUAUGAAAAAAAGUUCAUCCGUUUCCAAAAAUAAGUUCAUCUGUUUUUAUAAUAGUUCAUCAAAUUUGAAAAAAGUUCAUCGAUUUUGAAAAAGUUCACCAAUUUUGAAAAAAGUUCAUCGAUUUUCAAAAAAUGUUCACAAGUAAAAAAAAUCAUCGGUUUUCUAAAAUAGUUCAUCAAAUUUGAAACAAAAAAUCAUCGAUUUUGAAAAAAAAUUCACCAAUUUUGAAAAAGUUCAUUGAUUUUCGUAAAACGUUCACAAGUAAAAAAAUCAUCAGUUUUCUAAAAUAGUUCAUCAAAUUUGGAAAAAGUUCAUCGAUUUUGAAAAAAAGUUCACUGAUUUUGAAAAAAGUUGAUCGAUUUUCAAAAAAUGUUCACAAGUAAAAAGAUCAUCGGUUUUCUAAAAUAGUUCAUCAAAUUUGAAAAAAGUUCAUCGAUUUUGAAAAAAAAGUUCACCGAUUUUGAAAAAAGUUCAUCGAUCUUUAGAAAAUGUUCACAACUAAAAAAUAGUUCACCAAAUUUGAAAAAAAAAGAGUUCACCGAUAUCGGGUUUGAAAAAAAGUGCAUCGAAAAUGAAAAGGUUCAUCGAUUUUUGAAAAAGUUUAACAGAUUUGAAAAAAGGAUCAUCAAAUUCGAUGAACUUUUUCCGUUGAAUUAGAAAAAUGAAAGAGAAAAAGAAAAAACGGAAGAAAGAACAAAAUGAUAAAAAAAAGGUUACAGAUCACCACAUCGGUGGGAUUGGUGUGGUUGGCUAUCGAAGCUAGCUUGCACGAGUACGUGGGGGGUUCGAAUCCUGCCGAUCGCUUUUUUUUUUGCGCCAGUUUAAAACAGAAAAGGAAGGGAGUAUGGGCCAGCCCAGCUCGACGUGGGAGGUGUGCGCCGGAAAAGAAUUCUAUGAGACCAGGUCUCACGCGAGACUCAUCCUGAUGGAUGACACGUGACAUUCACAAAUCACAAAGCAUCCCCCACUUAAAAUCAAGGGGGGAGAGAAUAGAUGCUUUGUGAUUUGUGAAUGCCACGUGUCAUCCAUCAGGACGGGUCUCACCUGUUAACCGUGAGACCUGGUCUCAUAUAAUUUUUUCCCGUGUGCGCCCGUUUGCAUAGAUCGAAGGAACGGGCGCAAAGGGCGCCGUUUAGGGUUUGCCACGUCUUCGCGCCACGUAGAUCGCCAAAUAGGAAGCCCACAUCGAGUCUUUGUCAUACUAAUAAUCAGGCUGGUUGUGUUGUCUACAAAUUUUCUAGGUUGGCUCGGCUAUGGGGUUUUCUCUUUCUUUCUUUUUUGUCUGCAACAUAACCAAUUUUUCUUUUACAACAUUGAUUGCUUUCUGGUUCUUGAACUACAGUUCUUUUUGGCUCUGCCGGUUUCUCUUACCUCUCUACCUUUUCUUUUUUUCCGGUUUUUAUUCUCUUUUUACCUAUUUUUAUUAUUUCUUUUCAUUUUAUUAUUUUCUUAUAUAAAUCUAUUUUUUAUACAUUUUUUAAAAUGUAUGUUGAACAUUUUUAAUACACUGAACAUUUUUGUAAUAUAUGCUAAAACAAUUAAGUACACGGUGAAUUUUUUUCAAAUAUACGGUGAAUUUAUUUUUUUCAUAACAUAAUGAACAAUUUUUCAAAAAAGGCGGACAUUUUCUAAAUGCACUUUGUACUUGUUUUGUCAUAUACAUUGAACAUAUUUCAGCAGUAAUUAAAUGCAUUUUCUUUUAAUUUUUUAAACAAUCAAUUAGUCAAAAUAUGACUGCAACAUGGUAUCUUUCUAUUUUUUUCGUCUAGCAUUUACCUUUUACAAUUCUUCUCAUGUCAGCAUUUUUGUUCAAGAAAAAUGAAUGCCCAAACAAUCAACGCACGAAUGAAAUAGUAAAUAAAAAACUGAAAUAGUCAGCUAAACACAGUCAGAAAAAUGGAGGAGGAACACACGCUAGAAAGAGAAACAUAAUGUAUGAAACGGGAAAAAGGGGUAAAAAAGUUAAUGGGCCACAAAAUGGUUGAUUUAGAAUAUCUAUCUUUUGCCGAAUCAGAUUCAAAGAGUAAUGGCUGAAUCAGAUUCCAUGAAAGUUGUGAACUUUUGCACUGGGCAAACCCAAUGAUGGGAUCCUGCAGCAGCAAUGUGUGCAUAAUGUGUGGAUGUGGUUACUAUGAUUGGGAAGGUCGACUUUCUACAUUGUCCUUGAGAAGCUAAUGGCCCGACUCAUGAGAUAGCUAAAUGUAGUUUUUUGAAUAAAACUUACUAUACUUGAGAUGAUGAUCCCCCUAGUUGGCUAUACUCAAAAUUUCUAGACGAUGUAAUGUUACUUAACAAUCAAUAAAGCUAGCCAUGGAGUCCUUACAAAAAAUAAUAUCUAUCUUUUAAUUAUCAAAGAAUUGUUCUAUUUAUUUUGACUAUUUUUUAUACUCCAAGCAUAAAAAACUAAGCAGAAGAACAGUUGAUGUGUAUUUUAGAUGGGCGACUCCCAGCCCACUAUUAAUGGACAUAUGCAGAUGCGUCCGCCAGCGUUUGACACCGUUUAUUUGGUAAUCCCACAUAGGAGUUGUUUUAGAGCAUCUUUAAUAGAUGAUGUAGAUGCUUAUACAUCUUCAAGGCCUAAAAACCCAUCUUCAGAUGAUAUAAAAUACAACAUUUGAAGAUGCAGAUUUUGCAUAUCUAUCUCUAGGAGAUGUAAAACAGUCGGUUGCACACCAACCGUCCAACGACUUUCAUUUUUGUUUCGCAAGCCGCCCACCGACCGCCGCCAGGGCCAUGGCCGACUCCGACGACCCCGCCGCCUCCUCCGGCGCAGCCACCCACCCCGCGCGGCCUUCACGGCGCGACCACCUUCCCCAAUCCUGCCUCCGCCUCCGCCUUGUCGUCGCCCCGGUUUUACCCCACCCCGGCCCGUCGCCAUCGCGGGCGCACCGCCGGUGAGGAAGCAGCGGGCCGCCAAUCCCCGCAGUGGAGGUGUGAAGCGGCCUUCAAGGCGCACCCCGACGAUGAACCCAUCUCGGGUGGCCAAAAAAUCAAGGCGGCCGCGGUUGCGUCGGCCGAUUCGCUGCCUCCGGUGGCCAUGGCGUCCGCAUCCGGUCAAGGAACUCCUACUCCAGUGGUCAUGGAGGAUGUCAUGGGCACGCCCACGGCCACCGCAUCCAACGUGUUCGACGAAAUGCCGUAAAGGUAAAAAAAAUCUGAUUUCCUCUUGUUUGUUCUUUCAAUUUCUGAUACGAAUAGAAUGCGAGGAUGAUUAUGUGUACGUCCAUUUGUUUUCUUGAUGAUGAAACUUUCAUGCACGCGACAAAUGUGUCAAACGAUGAUUAUUUCUCUCAAGAAUAUGCAACAAGACUUCAACGUAUAAAAACGUCGACAAAGAAAUCAUUGAUGAUUAUGAUCAUACCACCGUCCACAAUGGCACUAGUGACAAGGAGAGGACGGAAAUUGAGUGAUAUGUUUGAUGUUCAUGUGCAUUUUAAUUUGUUGGGCCAAGAAGCUUGUUUGAGACAACACACUUUUGGUUGUAUGAUUUCCAAUUUUAAUUGAUAUGAUGCAUUUUUAUUGGUAGAAAUCUGAAAUUUAUUGCUAUUUGAAUGUUCGGAUGCGGCUGUACACAUCUGCGCGGCAGUUGGCCGGUUUUACAUCUCCAAUUUGCAUCAUAUAUUGGAGUUGCCCUUUUUACAUCAUCAAUAUACGUCACGUGUUGAAGUUGCCUCUUUUUUAGGAUGUAAAAUACACUUUUUAGUGAUGUAAAUUACGUAUACACCAUCCAGUUUUACCUCUCCAAAUUUGCCUGAUGUUCUUACGUAUAGCAUUGCUCGCUUGAACCAGCUCAGCAUAGGCGAUGGCGUAACCUCUAACUCAGUAUCCAAACAGGCCAAUUUUUUUUUUUUUGCGGGUGCAAACAGGACCAUUGUUCGUUGGUGCACCCAGCCAUUUUCGUUCCGCUUCCGCUGGCUACACGUGUGGCAUAUACGACAUGCACCCACACAUCGUGUGUUAUGUGAGUAGGAGGCAGCCCACACGGGCUGUGUAUGGACGGACAUUAGAAUUGCUCAUACGUGUGGACGCGGCUACUUCGUGCCACACGUCCAACAAAUACUACUCAUCUCCACCCCGUGCGUGUGGCACGAAACAAAAAUGCCCACACGUCCUGACACAGCUACGUUUGGUACCCCGCGAGAUGACGAUUUAGUUGCCAUCCUGGUUGGCAGAUGUAGUUAUUUGGGAUGGCAAGUGUAGUUGUAAAAGCAUGGCAACUCUAUCUGUUUUGGUUAACUAUAGUUGACAUGUCUAAUUUAUGGUAGUUGUCGCGUGUAAUCAAACCGUAGUUGCCGUGUGUGAUUAACUACUUGCCACAUAUGGUCAAAACAGUAGUUAUCAUGUGUGUUUACCUAGUUGUCACGUGUGGUCCAACCAUAGUUGCCAUGUAUUGUUAAUCACAGUGUCCAUGUAUGUUUAUCUGGUUGCCACGUACGCGCAACUGCAGUUGCCGUGUAGCAAAGAAUCACAGUUGCCAUGUGUAUGUACCGAGUUGCCACGUUCACGUAACUGCAGUUGCCGUGUAGCAAAGAAUCACAGUUGCUAUGUGUGUGUACCGAGUUGCCACGUUCGCGUAACUGCAGUUGCCGUGUAGUAAAGAAUCACAGUUGUCAUGUGUGUGUACCGAGUUGCCACGUUCGCGUAAGUGCAGUUGCCAUCCACAAGGUAGGAGUGUCGUGUGGGCGAAAAGCAGUUCGCCAACACGCGCAUGACCUAGGUGGUGGCUGUGUGGGCGAAAAGCAGUUCGCCCACACAACGCAGCUGGCAAACAGCGUGGUGCGGGCGUGUGGGCAAAAUCUCCAACGCCCACACACCAGCCCCGUCCUACGUGGCACACCAAAUCCACCUUUUCGUGUCAAGAUUCGUGUAAAAGACAGUGAACGGUGAUCCGGACGUGUGGGCGAGUUGAGUAACGCCCACACGUGUGGGCGUUAGUGUUUUCGUAAAAGUAAAACAGUCAUUCGUACCCCGGUCAAGGUCUUGACCCCCUGCUCCCUCGAAAUUAGCACCGCUACAGAGAAAAGCACUGCUACAGAGAAGUGGACACUGCCAGACCAUGCAGGCCAGCGCUAGCUGGAGCAGGAUUUAAUUUGUGAAUAAUCGCACACAUGAUGACGCAUCCUUGUGCCCUGUGUCACGCUCGUGUACUCGUACCAAGGUGGUGGUGAAGUGGCCGGGUGGUCUUUGCGUUGCAUAGGAUGCCGCCGUUGGUGGACGCUUUCGGCACUGACAGCCGUAAAAGGACCCCAUCAAAAGAGGCCGCCACUGAAUCCGACUCCCACUGCCACUGCCCAGGUCCCAGCGCCAGCACCACCAGCAGCAGCUUUGAACGAAAAGAAAAGGACGGUGACUGACUGCGCUCGGAAAAUUAACCGAUUAUAGAUUCCGGCCCAAAAGGGCAGAUGUGCCGGGCGAGGCAGGUCAUUUGUGUGUGACGCCGAGCUCCGAUCACAUCACGCACGCUCGUGCGUUGCACCCCAGUCCGUGUGGCGAAGCCGGAUGGAUCAUGGAUGGACGGGCACUGCGAGCACCCAAGCGACGACACAGCCUAUCUAAGUCUUCUAUAUUUUUUUUGCGGGUGCUCCCGAGUCUUCUUUGCAGAGGUAAUAAAGAGGAUGAAACCUACAAGCAGCUUUAACCACGCUGAUUUCCCUAAUUCGGUGGUAGUAGCUUCUUUGCCUUUUCUAUUGCAGUAGUUUUCUAUUAGCCGGCUAUCAUUUUACAUCUUUCUGGCCAUUUCAUCCCCUGGCCAUGGGUGCAUGGUCGAUCCCGGCUCUUGUCGACAGGAGGGAUUCAUUUUCAGAUGCCUCUACAAGUCUUGUCAGAGUCUGUGUCCUGCUCAGAAACAUGAGACGGCGGCGGCUUCUUGAAGAUGAAAUAAGGUUCUUUCUGCCUAGCUCUCGUCUCGGUGUUGCGUCUAAUAUCGUCGGAGGGCGCAUGGAGGUGUGUCUCCGGCAUAUCUCAUGGGAUUCGGUCGUUGGUUGUCUUUGGUGGAUCCGUUCGGACCCGAUCUUUGUUCAUGUCUUCAGGUUGGAUCCUUCCGAUCUAGUCUUCUCUUCAUCGGUGGCGGUUGCUGUUCUGGUGCGUUGGUCCUAUGGGGGCCUAGCACGACGACUUCCCGACUGUCUACUACAACAAGUUGUGCUCGGCUUCAGCAAGGGAGGGCAAUGACAGCGGCGAGUCUUCGGCUCGCUUCAGUGCUUAUAGUCGUCGCUAGGUGGUUUACGAAUCUGAAUGUAUUUUUUAUUAUUUCUUAUGUUCGUUGUACUCCCAUGAUUGGAGUUGAAUAGAUUGGAAGUUUUAUGCGAAAAAAAACUUUGUGCUAUCUUCUUCUGUUUUACGGUCUUCCUUGUAUUUUGGGUCAUAUUUUGACCUUAAUUUUAACUAAUAGAAUAUAAAUUAUAUGUAGCAAAAAUUAUAUCAUCAAAAACUAUAUUUAAAUACAAAUCCAACAAUAUAAUUUUUAGCAACAUGCAUUAACAUUUUGCUAAUCAAAUACGUAGUCAAAUUCAAAACGCGACGGGGGCUGGUAAACUCGGACGAAGGUGUAACACGUAGGGGGGAUUGAUGUCGAGUAGUCCUGGCCAUGGGCAGCCCAGCCCGGCCUGAAAAAGCCCGACCCGGCUCGGCCCGACCUUGUCCAUGGGCCGGGCUCGGGCCUAGGUUUUGAGCCCAAAGCCCGGGCCGGGCCGGGCCCAGGCCCGUCGAUUUUGCAAUUUAAGGAAGAGGCCCGGCCCGUGGCCCGAGGCCUGACGGGCUUUUAGUAUGAUGGGCCGGGCUCGGGCCCGAUUUUUAGGCCCGACGGCCGGGCCGGGCCUGGGUUUUUUGCGUCGGGCUUUGGUUGGCCCGGCCCGAAGCCUGGCCCGGCCCGAGGAAUGGCUAUGUAUAAUGUCGAGCAUUUUUUUUGAAAGAUCCAGCAUCGCCGGCUUCAUUGAUUUAGCAGGAAGGAGAGUACAAAGGUUGAUCGGAACGAUCAGGAAGAGAAAAUAAGGAAGAGAUGGUCAAGCGACCAUCAUCUUGUGCAGGAAACAUUGAAAUUAAUCUUCUCCCAACAUUUCCCCGAACGGGGUCUCUAGUUUCUACGCUCCUGCCAAUCUCCAUUGUUCGAAGUUACUACUGAUCUUUGCACAUAUCCGUUGAUGACAUGGGGUCGCCCCCCUGAAGGUGCAGUCAUUCCUCUCAUUCCAGAUCUCCCACAAGAUCAUAAUGAUCAUUGAUCUGAUUGCUCUUCUGUUUUGUGGUAAAGUCCGGUUGAUGGUCUGCUGGCAUACCUGAGCAGAUGAGGUGGGGUCCCUGGUCGAGGGUGACAGGGAGGAGCAUCCAGAUCGCCUUGCCGUGUGCAGCCAAAUUUCCCGCGCAAAACUGCAAUCCCAAAACAAAUGUGUGGACGUUUCAAGAUUGUGGAGGCACAGUUGACAGAAGUAACUGUUCGGCCAACCCCUCCUCUGAAGUCGAUCGUUGCACCAAAGCCUGUCCUGGAGGAGCAGCCACAUGAACAUCUUGUGCUUGUUUGGAGCCCACACCUUCCAGAUUAGAUAGUUGAACAUGGGCUGACCCGAGAGAUGAAAUUAUGUAUUGUAUGCUGAAUUUGCAAAGUAGUAACCAUUGUUGGUGUGCCGCCAUCGAAUGCGGUCGUCUUCUUGUGGGCUCAACACUGUGUUUUCGGCCUGUAUCAUGCGCCACAUGGAUAGAAAGUCUGGUGCAAUGGCCAUGGUGUCACCAUGCUGCAGAUCUUUAAUCCACCGAUCAUUCCGGAGGGAUGCUUCAACACUUCUACUUUUUCUGCGGGCGUGAUUGUAGAUUGUUGGGUAGGAGAUUGCCAGCGGGGAAUCGCCUAACCAAUUGUCUUUCCAGAAGUUUGCUUUGCGGCCAUUCCCAAUCUGAACUUUUGUUGCCAAACUGAAGAUCUGUCGGUCCUUCUCCGACACCGGGGGUUGUAGCUGCACCCACGGCCUUGCCGGUUGAUCCCAUGCUAGCCACUGCCAUCUGAGGCGAAGGGCAAUGCUGAACUUGUUUAGAUCUAAGAUGCCCAACCCUCCUUGACGCACUAGGGAGCAAACCUUCGACCAGGCCACCUUGCACUUACCCCCCGCGAGCUCGUCAUCCUGGCUCCAUAGGAAUCGCCUUCGGGCCUUGUCUAUCUCUCGUAUGAUCUUCUUUGGCACUUUUUGCACAGUCAUGGCAAAAGUUGGCAGGGCGGAGAGGACGCUGCGUACCAGAACCCUCCUACCUGCCAAGUUGAGUAGUUUUCCUUUUCAACCUGCCAGACGCGCUUUAAUCCUGUCUAUCAAGAACUGGAAGUGGCUCAGCCUCAGCCUGGCCGUCGAGAUCGGCAAGCCAAGGUAGGUCAGCGGGAACCCAGUCAGAGAGCCGCCGAAGCCCUGUAGCACUUCCGACAAAUUGAUGUCGUCGCACCGAAUGGCUGCUACUGAAGAUUUGGUUUGGUUGAGAUGCAACCCCGUCGCUUCCCCAAAUUUUGUCAGCAGAUCGAGCGGCGCAUCAACCUCGCCCUUGGAUGGAUUGGCGAAUAUGACCGCGUCAUCUGCGUACAGGCAGACCCUCAUACUCGUACCCCGGCCCGGCAACUGGGCCAGCGUCCCCCUCUCCGCAGCCGCUACUAGCAGACGAUGAAGCGGUUCAAUGGCGAUGACGAAGAGGAGCGGGGAGAAAGGGUCUCCCUGACGCAGGCCUUGGCGGUGCCAGAACUUCUCACCCGGCUCGCCGUUCAUCGGGAUGAAGGAGGAGGCUGAAGAUAGCAGCAUGGCGGUCCAGUCCCUCCAACGUGAGCUAAAACCCAGUUUCUGCAGCAGUUCCAGUAAGUAUUCCCAGGAAACUGAAUUGAAGGCCUUGGCAAUGUCCAGUUUGAAAAGAAGGGCUGAUUUUUUGUCCCUGUGAAGCGCUCUAACGCAGCCCUGUACAUACUGAUAGCUAUCAUGGAUGCACUUGCCCUUUUGGAAAGCAGUUUGCGCCGGGGAGAUGAGGUCCUUGAGUUUUGGGGCCAGCCGCAUAGAGAGAACCUUAGCUAUCAGUUUCAACAUGGAGUGUAUGAGGCUGAUAGGCCUGAAGUGGCACAUCUCCGUUGCUCCAUCUUUUUUCGGCAGCAGUGCUAUGAACGCGUUGUUUAGAUCAUCAAAGUUUGCUCUGCUAGGUCAUAGAAUUUCUGAAAAACUGCCAUAAUGUCGUGCUUGAUGAUGUUCCAACUAGCCCUGAAAAAACAACCGGUGAAGCCGUCCGGUCCAGGCGCUUUUUCAGCCGCUGAGGCCUGAAUUGCCGCCCACACUUCAUGCUCGGUGAAAGGUAGAUCGAGCCCCGUCAUGUCGACUACCGGCAGGUGCAGUUCGUCCCAGUUUAGAGUGCAGUUGCGCUGCCAGCUCCUUCCCAAAGCCUCUAUAAAGUGGUCUCGCACGGCUGAUGCCUUCUCCUGGUGUUCAGUGAUGUCUGCGAUGCCCACCCUGAUCGAAUGAAUGUAGUUCUUCCUCCUUCUUGCUCUGAUUUUUGCAUGGAAAAAUUUUGAGUUUGCGUCGCCAGCUUUGAGCCACAUGAUCCUGGAUGCCUGUCGUUUUCUGGCUCUCUCAAUGGCGGCCAAUCCAAUCACCUUGAGUUUAAGCUGCUUGCGCAGCUGGCGCUCCUGCUCCGUCAGGUGCCUGGCCUCCUGUGCCAAGUCCAACUGCAAUAUCACCGUGUUUGCAAUGUGGAACUGCAUCUUGGCGCCUCCAAAGAGCGAUCUACUCCAGAUUUCUAGGUCAGCCCCAGUCCUCUGUAGCUUCCUGCCGAUGUGAAUGAAUGGGCAGUCGUGAUUCACCGGUCGAUCCCAGGCGUGCUGCAUUGUCUCGCGGAAGUGCGGAAAUUGCGGGCAAAAGCUUUCAAACCUGAACCUAGCUUUCCUAACUAGCGGCGUACCAUUGGCUAACAGGAGGGGGCAGUGAUCGGAGAAGGACGUAGAGGCCGCCGUAAGCAACACGUCGGGGAACAUGUCUUCCCAUGCUAAGUUGCAAAAAACCUUGUCAAUGUUGCGUAAAGUAGGUGCUUCUCGCUCAUUACUCCAGGUGAAUCGCCUAUUUCUGCACUUGACUUCUCUGACCCCUGCGUAGUCGAUCACUCGGCGAAAGCGGCCCACCAUCCUUCUGUUGAUCAGGCCGUUGCUUUUGUCUCUGGCUUGGUAAAUCAUGUUGAAGUCGCCAUUAAGCAUCCACGGAUCCGAUGGGGGAGGGGCCACGCUGGCAAGUUCAGAAAGGAAAGUUUUCUUUCUAUUCAUCCUCUGUCGGCCCAUAGACGGUUGUCAUCCAAAAGAAAUCGCUGCUGCCGACGAAUUGGACCCUAACCGUGAUGGAGAAACUAGCGAUCAUGUGCGAUACUAUGUCGACUACUUGCUUAUCCCAGAAAAUGGUUGCACUGUCUCUAGUGCCUGUUGCGGGUAAAACCACACAGCCCUGAAGCGAAGGACCCCCUACUUGUACUGCUACUUGUGUGGACCAGGAUUUGAUCUUUGUUUCCUGUAAAUUUAGGAUUGAGAUUUUGUUGGCGUGAGCCACCUAAUGUCGAGCAUUGGUUGUCUUACUAUCACGAUAGAAGAAAUAUGCACAUAUGUGGAUACUUAAAAGUUAUGAAGUUAGAACAACCAUCCAUUUUUGUAAGAAACUGACCAAGAGUCAACCAAUAAUGAGCAGAAAAAUUAGAAUGUUAUUAUUUGCACAAAUUCAAUCAAUCAAAGUUAUCUGUAGAGUCAAGAUUGCCAUGCAUACGAGAAAGUAUAAAAUACAUGAGGUACAGAAGGAGAAGAACCUCGACAACUUUUCCAUAUGAUAAAAUUAACAAAUAAAGCAACGGAAACACAAACAAUACUCUGAAAAGUUGGUGGGCAAUUUGGAAACAUAUAUGCUUUAAAAGAAGGUUCCUCGCAGGUUUGAUGACAGCUUAUUUGUUCUCGUCAAAAUAGCAAGACAGAAGAGCGUGAUUAAAGCUUAUUUGUUCCCAUCUAUCCAGUAGUAACUUCCAAGGAAAAAUAUGCGAACAUAUCCUUGAUGUAAACAAAUUAAUUUCCAUCGGUAGUCACAUCACAUCAUAGGCGAUUUUGAAGUAAAGGUUUACCUCAUACGAAGAACUAGACCCUCUUUUUUCUUAAUUGGUGGAUGAAUGGAAUCAUUUCUUCCAAUCAACCUCCAUGCUACAAAAAUCAAGUAAAACCUAGUGCAAAUUCAUGCGUUGGAACUGAUUUUGCCUCGUCAACAGGUGGGUUCAUUGGACCGUCGGUGGGCACCAAUACAUUCAAAUCGGAGACUCGCAAUAUUAAGCAGCAACAACUUCACUAAUUCUUUUGACGCCUAAGCAAAAGAAAUACAUUUUGAGUAGGCAAUAACUCUUAUGAUUGAUUAUAUUGGACAUGUAAGCUAAAAAGUUUUUGGGUCUCCUGAAUCAGAGAGUAUCAUUUACUAGAAGCUAUGAAUCUCACUAUCAUGAUGCAAGCUAAAACAUUUUUAAUAUCCAAAAUCCGAGACUCUCCAUUAUAUGGUUUCUCAGUUAAAUGUUUGGUUUCCAAUUGUAAUUAUGGUUUUCCAGGCCAGAUAAAAUAUAAUUAAAUGUACAAAAUAAUUGUCCAACUCAUAAAGACACAAUCAUGGCGCCCUUCGAAUAGAUAGGGAUGAUCCAAUAUAGGACCGAUGACAACAAUUGUCAGGGUAAAUACAUAGAAAUAGUUCUCCCUCCGAUCCAUAUUAGUUGACUUGAUUUAGUACAAAGUUCUAAAUCAAGCCUGACGCACCAGGUCAUCGUCCGUUGCAUAUAGGCCCACAAGCGACCCCCGAAGGCCUGACGCACCAGGAGUCAACGGCCCUAGAGAUCUUAGAAUCUUAGAAGAAGCGAGCCCACAUGUCGGUGUCAAAACCGGCGGAUCUCGGGUAGGGGGUCCCGAACUGUGCGUCUAGGCCGGAUGGUAACAGGAGGCAAGGGACACGAAGUUUUACCCAGGUUCGGGCCCUAUCGAUGGAGGUAAAACCCUACGUCCUGCUUGAUUAAUAUUGAUGAUAUGGGUAGUACAAGAGUAGAUCUACCACGAGAUCAGAGAGGCUAAACCCUAGAAGCUAGCCUAUGGUAUGAUUGUUGUUAUCUAUGUUGUCCUACGGACUAAAACCCUCCGGUUUAUAUAGACACCGGAGAGGGUUAGGGUUACACAAAGUCGGUUACAAUGGUAGGAGAUCUGAAUAUCCGUAUCGCCAAGCUUGCCUUCCACGCCAAGGAAACUCCCUUCCGAACACGGGACAAUCUUGUAUAUUCAUAGUCCAGGAGUCCGGCUGAAGGUAUAGUUCGGCCAUCCGGACACCCCCUAAUCUAGGACUCCCUCAGUAGCCCCUGAACCAGGCUUCAAUGACAACGAGUCCGACGCGCAGAUUGUCUUCGGCAUUGCAAGGCGGGUUCCUCCUCCAAGUACUUCAUAGAAGAUUUUGAACACAAAGAUAGUGUCCGGCUCUGCAAAAUAAGUUUCCACAUAUUGCCAUAAAGAGAAUAAUAUUUACACAAAUCUAAUCUGCUGACGUAUGCCGUAGCGUGACACACCACGGCCAAGCCUUUAUUCGAGUCGUUUCAUUAUCCCACCUCAGCGUGUUAUGCGAGGCGGUUUCCUUGGCACGUCUUUGUCAAAGCAGAGAUCGUGUCCCCUUAUUCCGGUAUUCUCAUCAAUACGGGCAUGGGUAACCCAACUGCUUCUAGGACUCCUAAAUCAUAGGCAAGUCCAAACGGACACGGAGAGGACGCUUGAUAUUCACCCUCUUUAUAAAGGGACAAGGCUUUUAUUUUUCCCUCCCGUGCUCAAUCGAGUCCUUCCCCCGCCUCAAGCUCAAACGCCCAAAGCUCAGGUCAGGUGCUCCGAACCUUCAGUCAUGUCCGGAUCUAGCCUUCAAGGCCGAUGGGUGCCUUCCUCCGUCAUGGAAGAAGAUAUCAAAAAGUUGAGGGAGGCCAGAUAUCUGACCGCCGAGAUUUUGCAUCGGCUGCCUCCCCGGGGCAGGCCGUCCCCUCCCCCGAACCCAACGAGAGCAUCGUGUUUGUCUCCUACUUCCUCCGAGGUCUAGGCCUUGCUUUGGAUCCUUUCGUCAGGGGCUUGAUGUUUUACUACGGGCUAGAUUUCCAUGAUCUGGCUCCGGACUCCUUUCUUCAUAUCAUGACAUUUAUUGUCGUGUGCGAGGCCUUCCUCCAGGUUACCCCUCACUUUGGCCUAUGGCUCAAGACCUUUGAAGUAAAGCCGAAGAUGAUCGAGGGGCAACAUGCGGCGUGUGGAGGUGCCUCAAUACGCAAGAUGACGGGAGCUUCAUGGCCCAAAGGUUCCAUUCCAGAGGUGUCUGAAUUGUGGCAACAGGAGUGGUUCUACAUCACGGCCCCUAGAAGUGCCAAGUGGGCGGCCGCCCUUGUUUUCCGCCUGGGCCCUCCACCACAACUGAUGUCAUGGAUUAGCAGAGGAUUGAGCUGGGGUCCAGCCAAGGACGUACCUAUACUGCAAAGCCGCAUUCAAGAUCUCUUCAAUGGAGAUUUCAGUUUGGUUGCGGUAACACAAGUUAUGCUGGUUCGUCAAGUCCAGCCUUGCAAACGUCGGCCCCUUCGCUUGUGGGAGUUCAAUCCCGAGGGACCGCGUGCCAUUCAAAAUUUCCUCGGCCUGACGCAUGAGGAUAUGUACAAGUCAUUCUUCGGACCUCGGGUAGAGUGUCCAGAAAUCACCGAGGACAUGGGCCUGAGCAGUAACCGUGCCGCCGAACAGGUAAGAAAUCUUCCGGCCGAACAUAUUGUCUCUCAUUUGUCACGAAGUUAUUUCUGAGAGUUUGCUUUUUGAUUAGGACUGGCUAGCAAAGGCGAAGUUGAUUCGGUGUUCGGCCCCCCUCCCUGAGGGUUUGGAAAAUCCGGUACUGGAAAAGAUACUCCAGAUCGCACCUUGCCCUAAGCCCUUGAAGGAAGAUACUGCGGAGGACAAUAAGGGCGGACACGGGCCCCCAACGCUGCCCAUUCUAACCGAGGGAGCGGGCGUCUCCAUGAAGGAAGACAACCGGAAGAGGAAAAGGACCGCGCCCGGGGAUUCGGAAGCCGAAGCUUCCAAACGAGAGAAGAAGUCUCCCACCGAGGGUCCUACCUUAUGGGGUGCUGUUGCCGCACAAAGUUCGUGGGGGGAUCAAUUCUCCCACGAGUCGUAAGUGACCCGAAAUACUUUAUCAGUACAGAUAUGCCAUCUUUUUCUUCUGAGAAAAUAAACACCGCAUAUAUCUUUGCAGUUCGGGCCUUAGCCCCUCUCAAAUGAGCUCGUCUUCGGGGAUCUUCUUCCAGAGAUGAUGGAGAGCGAAACGCCUCCUUUGGACUCCUCCGCUCCGGAAGCGGGUGACCCUGAAGUGUCGUCGCGGAGGGCCUCUCCGAGUCCGGCGAGGCCAGAAGGUAAUCCCGUCGACCCCCGGAGCUCCCAGUGUCCGGCUCCCAAAGAGAGCAGACAAAAGAGUCUGGUGUUGGGGAACGUAGCAGAAAUUCAAAAUUUUCCUACGCGUCACCAAGAUCUAUCUAUGGAGAGACCAGCUACGAGUAGAAGGAGAGUGCAUCUACAUACCCUUGUAGAUCUCUAAGCGGAAGCGUUCAAGUGAACGGGGUUGAUGGAGUCGUACUCGUCGUGAUUCAAAUCACCGAUGACCAAGUGCCGAACGGACGGCACCUCCGCGUUCAACACACGUACAGCCCGGUGACGUCUCCCACGCCUUGAUCCAGCAAGGAGAGAGGGAGAGGUUGAGGAAGAAUCCAUCCAACAGCAGCACAACGGCGUGGUGGUGGUGGAGGAGCGUGGCAAUCCCGCAGGGCUUCGCCAAGCACCAUGGGAGAGGAGGAGGAGGGAGAGGGGCAGGGCUGCACCAACGAGAGAUCAAAUCGCGUGUUAUGGGCAGCCCCUAGGCCUCAUAUAUAUAGGGGCAAGGGAGGGCUGCGCCCCCUUUAGGGUUUCCCACCCCAAGGGGCGGCGGCCAGCCUCCAGAUGGCAUCUGGUGCGACGGCCAAGAGGGGGGGGAGGAGUCCAUCCUCCCCAAGGCACCUCGGAGGUGCCUUCCCCCUUGAGGACUCUUCCCUCUAGGGUUCCCUAGGCGCAUGGGCCUCUUGGGGCUGGUGCCCUUGGCCCAUGUAGGCCAAGGCGCACCCCCUACAACCCAUGUGGCCCCCCGGGGCAGGUGGCCCCACCCGGUGGGCCCCCGGGACCCUUCCGGUGGUCCCGGUACAAUACCGAUGACCCCGAAACUUGUCCCGAUGGCCGAAACAGGACUUCCUAUAUAUAUAUCUUUACCUCCGGACCAUUCCGGAGCUCCUCGUGACGUCCGAGAUCUCAUCCGGGACUCCGAACAACAUUCGGUAACCACAUACAAGCUUCCUUUAUAACCCUAGCGUCAUCGAACCUUAAGUGUGUAGACCCUACGGGUUCGGGAGACAUGCAGACAUGACCGAGACGUUCUCCGGUCAAUAACCAACAGCGGGAUCUGGAUACCCAUGUUGGCUCCCACAUGUUCCACGAUGAUCUCAUCGGAUGAACCACGAUGUCAAGGACUCAAUCGAUCCCGUAUUCAAUUCCCUUUGUCUAUCGGUAUGUUACUUGCCCGAGAUUCGAUCGUCGGUAUCCAAUACCUUGUUCAAUCUCGUUACCGGCAAGUCACUUUACUCGUUCCGUAACACAUCAUCCCGUGAUCAACUCCUUGGUCACAUUGCGCAUAUGAUGAUGUCCUACCGAGUGGGCCCAGAGAUACCUUUCCGUUUACACGGAGUGACAAAUCCCAGUCUCGAUCCGCAUAAAACAAUAGGUACUUUCGGAGAUACCUGUAGUGCACCUUUAUAGUCACCCAGUUACGUUGUGACGUUUGAUACACCCAAAGCACUCCUACGGUAUCCAGGAGUUACACGAUCUCAUGGUCAAAGGAAGAGAUACUUGACAUUGGCAAAGCUCUAGCAAACGAACUACACGAUCUUUGUGCUAUGCUUAGGAUUGGGUCUUGUCCAUCACAUCAUUCUCCUAAUGAUGUGAUCCCGUUAUCAAUGACAUCCAAUGUCCAUAGCCAGGAAACCAUGACUAUCUGUUGAUCACAACGAGCUAGUCAACUAGAGGCUCACUAGGGACAUAUUGUGGUCUAUGUAUUCACACGUGUAUUACGAUUUCCGGAUAAUACAGUUAUAGCAUGAAUAAAAGACAAUUAUCAUGAACAAGGAAAUAUAAUAAUAAUACUUUUAUUAUUGCCUCUAGGGCAUAUUUCCUACAGUCUCCCACUUGCACUAGAGUCAAUAAUCUAGUUCACAUCGCCAUGUGAUUAACACUCACAGGUCACAUCGCCAUGUGACUAAUACCCAAGAGUUUACUAGAGUCAGUAGUCUAGUUCACAUCACUAUGUGAUUAACACUCAAUGAGUUUUAUGUUUGAUCAUGUUGCUUGUGAGAGAGGUUUUUAGUCAACGGGUCUGAACCUUUCAGAUCCGUGUGUGCUUUACAAAUCUCUAUGUCAUCUCCUAGAUGCAGCUACCACGCUCUAUUUGGAGCUAUUCCAAACAACUGUUCUACUUGGAGCUAUUCUAAAUUAUUGCUCCAUUAUAUGUAUCCGGUCUCUCUACUCAGAGCUAUCCGGAUAGGUGUCAAGCUUGCAUCGUCUUAACCUUUACGACGAACUCUUUUACCACCUCCAUAAUCGAGAAAAUUCCUUAGUCCACUAGUUACUAAGGAUAACUUUGACCGCUGUCUUGUGAGCCAUUCUUGGAUCACUCUUGUACCCCUUGACUGACUCAUGGCAAGGCACACUUCAGGUGCGGUACACAGCAUAGCAUACUGAAGAGCCUACGUCUUAAGCAUAGGGGACGACCUUCGUCCUUUCUCUCUAUUCUGCCGUGGUCGAGCUUUAAGUCUUAACUUCAUACCUUACAACUCAGGCAAGAACUCCUUCUUUGACUGGUCCAUCUUGAACACCUUCAAGAUCAUGUCAAGGUAUGUGCUCAUUUGAAAGUAUUAUUAAGCAUUUUGAUCUAUCCUUAUAGAUCUUGAUGCUCAAUGUUCAAGUAGCUUAAUCCAGGCUUUCCAUUGAAAAACACUUUCAAAAUAACCCUAUAUGCUUUCUAGAAAUUCUACAUCAUCUCUGAUCAUCAAUAUGUCAACAACAUAUACUCAUCAGAAAUUCUAUAGUGCUCCCACUCACUUCUUUGGAAAUACAAGUUUCUCAUAAACUUUGUACAAACCCAAAAUCUUUGAUCACCAUCAAAGCAUACAUUCCAACUCCGAGAUGCUCACUCCAGUCCUUAGAAGGAUUGCUGGAGCUUUGCAUACUUAUUAGCAUCUUUUGGGAUUGACGAAACCUUCCGGUUGUAUCACAUACAACCUUUCCUCAAGAAAAUCGUCGAGGAAACAAUGUUUUGACAUCCUAUCUGCAAGAUUUCAUAAAUAAUGCAGUAAUCGCUAAUAUAAUUCCAACAGACUCUUAGCAUUGCUACGAGUGAGAAAAUCUCAUCGUAGUCAACUCCUUGAACUUGUCGGAAAAACAUCUAACGACAAGUCGAGCUUUCUUAAUGGUGACAUUUACCAUCAUUGUCCGUCUUCCUUUUGAAAUCCAUCUGUACUCAUUAGCCUUACGACCAUCGAGCCGUUCUGCCAAAGUCUACACUUUGUUUUCAUACAUGGAUCCUCUCUCGGAUUUUAUGGCCUCAAGCCAUUUAUCGGAAUCCGGGCCCACCAUCGCUUCUCCAUAGCUCGUAGGUUCAUUGUUGUCUAGCAACAUGACCUUCAAGACAGGAUUACAUACCACUCUGAAGUAGUACGCAUCCUUGUCAUCCUACGAGGUUUGGGAGUGACUUGAUCCGAAGUUUCAUGAUCAAUAUCAUAAGCUUCCACUUCAAUUGGUGUAGGUGCCACAGGAACAACUUCCUGUGCUCUGCCACACACUAGUUGAAGAGACGGUUCAAUAACCUCAUCAAGUUUCCACCAUCCUCCCACUCAAUUCUUUCGAGAGAAACUUUUCCUCGAGAAAGGACUCGAUUCUAGAAACAAUCCAUAUUGCUUUCGGAUCUGAAUUAGGAGGUAUACCCAACUGUUUUGGGUUUCCUAUGAAGAUGCAUUUUUAUCCGCUUUGGGUUCGAGCUUAUCAAUCCUGAAACUUUUUCACAUAAGCGUCGUAGCCCCAAACCUUUAAGAAACGACAACUUAGGUUUCUCUAAACGGUGUCGUCUCAACGGAAUUACGUGGUGCCCUAUUUAAAGUGAAUGUGGUUGUCUCUAAUGCCUAACCCAUGAAAGAUAGUGGUAAUUCGAUAAGAGACAUCAUGGUACGCACCAUACCCAAUAGGGUGCAACUAUGAUGUUCGGACACACCAUCACAUUAUGGUGUUCCAGGCGGUAUUAAUUGUGAAACAAUUUCCACAAUGUCUUAAUUGUGUGCCAAAACUCGUAACUCAGAUAUUCAUCUCUAUGAUCAUAUCAUAGACAUUUUAUCCUCUUGUCACAAUGAUCUUUUACUUCACUCUAAAAUUACUUGAACCAUUCAAUAAUUCAGACUUGUGUUUCAUCAAGUAAAUAUUCUCAACAUCUACUCGAAUCAUCUGUGAAGUAAGAACAUAACGAUAUUCACUGCAUGCCUUAGCACUUAUUGGACUGCACACAUCAAAAUGUGUUACUUCCAACAAGUUGCUAUCUUGUUCCAUCUUAUUGAAACCGAGGCUUUUUAGUCAUCUUGCCUAUGUGGUAUGAUUUGCAUAUCUCAAGUGAUUCAAAAUCAAGUGAGUUCAAACGGUCCAUUUGCAUGGAGUUUCUUCAUGCAUAUAUACCAAUAGACAUGGUUCGCAUGUCUCAAACUUUUCAAAAAAUGAGUGAGUCCAAAGAUCCAUCAACAUGGAGCUUCUUCAUGCGUUUUAUACCAUUAUGACUUACAUGGCAGUGCCACAAGUAAGUGGUACUAUCAUUACUAUCUUAUAUCUUUUGGCAUGAAAAUGUGUAUCACUACGAUCGAGAUUCAAUAAACCAUUCCUUUAGGUGCAAGAGCACUUUAUUCAGGUUUAAUACUAAUCUUGAUGGUAGAGGGAGCGUGCGAUGUUUGAUCACAUCAAACUUGGAAACACUUCCAACACAUAUCGUCAGCUCUCCUUUAGCUAGUCUUCGUUUAUUCCGUAGCUUUUAUUUCGAGUUACUAACACUUAGCAACCGAACCGGUAUCUAAUACCCUGGUGCUACUAGGAGUACUAGUAAAGUACACAUUAACACAAUGUAUAUCCAAUAUACUUCUAUCGACCUUGCCAGCCUUCUCAUCUACCAAGUAUCUAGGGUAAUUCUGCUCCAGUGGCUGUUCCCCUUAUUACAGAAGCACUCAGUCUCGGGUUUGGGUUCAACCUUGGGUUUCUUCACUAGAGCAGCAGCUGGAUUGCCGUUUCAUGAAGUAUCCCUUCUUGCCCUUGCCCUUCUUGAAACUAGUGGUCUCACUGACCAUCAACGAUUGAUGCUCCUUCUUGAUUUCUACUUUCGCGGUGUCAAACAUCGCAAAAAUCUCAAGGAUCAUCAUAUAUGUCCCUGAUAUAUUAUAGUUCAUCACGAAGCUCUAGCAGCUUGGUGGUAAUGACUUCGGAGAAACUAUCACUAUUUCAUCUGGAAGAUCAACUCCCACUUGAUUCAAGUGAUUGUUGUACUCAGACAAUCUGAGCACAAGCUCAACGAUUGAGCUUUUCUCCCUUAGUUUGUAGGCUAAGAAAAUUGUCGGAGGUCUUAUACCUCUUGACGUGUGCACGAGCCUGAAAUCCCAAUUUCAGCCCUCGAAACAUCUCAUAUGUUCCGCGACGUUUCGAAAACGUCUUUGGUGCCUCUACUUAAACCAUUUAAUUGAACUAUCACGUAGUUAUCAAAACGUGUAUGUCCGAUGUUCGCAACAUCGACAAACGACGUUGGGGUUCAGCACACUGAGCGGUGCAUUAAGGACAUAAGCUUUCUACUGUCCGCAUAAUCGCUACUGUCAACUUUCAACUAUAUUUUCUCUAGGAACAUAACUAAAACAGUAGAACUAUAGCGUGAACUACGACAUAAUUUGCAAAAGGUCUUUUGACUAUGCUCAGGAUAAUUAAGUUCAUCUUAUGAACUCCCACUCAGAUAGACAUCCCUCUGGUCAUCUAAGUGAUUACAUGAUCCGAGUCAACUAGGCCGUGUCCGAUCAUCACGUGAGACGGACUAGUCAUCAUCGGUGAACAUCUUCAUGUUGAUCGUAUCUGCUAUACGACUCAUGCUCGACCUUUCGGUCUCCGUGUUCCGAGGCCAUGUCUGUACAUGCUAGGCUCGUCAAGUUAACCCUAAGUGUUUUCGCUGUGUAAAACUGUCUUACACCCGUUGUAUGUGAACGUAAGAAUCCAUCACACCCGAUCAUCACGUGGUGCUUAGAAGCGACGAACUGUAUCAACGGUGCACAGUUAGGGGAGAACACUUCUUGAAAUUUUGUAAGGGAUCAUCUUAUUUACUACCGUCGUUCUAAGCAAACAAGAUGCAUAAACAUGAUAAACAUCACAUGCAAUCAAAUAGAGUAGUGACAUGAUAUGGCCAAUAUCAUAUAGCUCCUUUGAUCUUCAUCUUCGGGGCUCCAUGAUCAUCUUGUCACCGGCUGACACCAUGAUCUCCAUCAUCAUGAUCUCCAUCAUCGUGUCUUCAUGAAGUUGUCACGCCAACGACUACUUCUACUUCUAUGACUAACGCGUUUAGCAAUAAAGUAAAGUAGUUUACAUGGCAUUCUUCAAUGACACGCAGGUCAUACAAUAAAUAAAGACAACUCCUAUGGCUCCUGCCGGUUGUCAUACUCAUCGACAUGCAAGUCGUGAAUCCUAUUACAAGAACAUGAUCAAUCUCAUACAUCACAUAUAUCAUUCAUCACAUCCUUUUGGCCAUAUCACAUCACAUAGCAUACCCUGCAAAAACAAGUUAGACGUCAUCUAAUUGUUGUUGCAUGUUUUACGUGGCUGCUAUGGGUUUCUAGCAAGAACGUUUCUUACCUACGCAAGACCACAACGUGAUAUGCCAAUUGCUAUUUACCCUUCAUAAGGACCCUUUUCAUCGAAUCCGUUCCAACUAAAGUGGGAGAGACUGGCACCCGCUAGCCACCUUAUGCACCAAGUGCAUGUCAAUCGGUGGAACCUGUCUCACGUAAGAGUACGUGUAAGGUCGGUCCGGGCCGCUUCAUCCCACAAUACCGUCGAAACAAGAUUGGACUAGUAACGGUAAGCAUAUUGAACAACAUCAACGCCCACAACUACUUUGUGUUCUACUCAUGCAAAGAAUCUACGCAAUAGACCUAGCUCAUGAUGCCACUAUUGGGGAACGUAGCAGAAAUUCAAAAUUUUCCUACGCGUCACCAAGAUCUAUCUGUGGAGAGACCAGCUACGAGUAGAAGGAGAGUGCAUCUACAUACCCUUGUAGAUCUCUAAGCGGAAGCGUUCAAGUGAACGGGGUUGAUGGAGUCGUACUCGUCGUGAUUCAAAUCACCGAUGACCAAGUGCCGAACGGACGGCACCUCCGCGUUCAACACACGUACAGCCCGGUGACGUCUCCCACGCCUUGAUCCAGCAAGGAGAGAGGGAGAGGUUGAGGAAGAAUCCAUCCAACAGCAGCACAACGGCGUGGUGGUGGUGGAGGAGCGUGGCAAUCCCGCAGGGCUUCGCCAAGCACCAUGGGAGAGGAGGAGGAGGGAGAGGGGCAGGGCUGCACCAACGAGAGAUCAAAUCGCGUGUUAUGGGCAGCCCCUAGGCCUCAUAUAUAUAGGGGCAAGGGAGGGCUGCGCCCCCUUUAGGGUUUCCCACCCCAAGGGGCGGCGGCCAGCCUCCAGAUGGCAUCUGGUGCGGCGGCCAAGAGGGGGGGGGGAGGAGUCCAUCCUCCCCAAGGCACCUCGGAGGUGCCUUCCCCCUUGAGGACUCUUCCCUCUAGGGUUCCCUAGGCGCAUGGGCCUCUUGGGGCUGGUGCCCUUGGCCCAUGUAGGCCAAGGCGCACCCCCUACAGCCCAUGUGGCCCCCCGGGGCAGGUGGCCCCACCCGGUGGGCCCCCGGGACCCUUCCGGUGGUCCCGGUACAAUACCGAUGACCCCGAAACUUGUCCCGAUGGCCGAAACAGGACUUCAUAUAUAUAAAUCUUUACCUCCGGACCAUUCCGGAGCUCCUCGUGACGUCCGGGAUCUCAUCCGGGACUCCGAACAACAUUCGGUAACCACAUACAAGCUUCCUUUAUAACCCUAGUGUCAUCGAACCUUAAGUGUGUAGACCCUACGGGUUCGGGAGACAUGCAGACAUGACCGAGACGUUCUCCGGUCAAUAACCAACAGCGGGAUCUGGAUACCCAUGUUGGCUCCCACAUGUUCCACGAUGAUCUCAUCGGAUGAACCACGAUGUCAAGGACUCAAUCGAUCCCGUAUUCAAUUCCCUUUGUCUAUCGGUAUGUUACUUGCCCGAGAUUCGAUCGUCGGUAUCCAAUACCUUGUUCAAUCUCGUUACCGGCAAGUCACUUUACUCGUUCCGUAACACAUCAUCCCGUGAUCAACUCCUUGGUCACAUUGCGCAUAUGAUGAUGUCCUACCGAGUGGGCCCAGAGAUACCUUUCCGUUUACACGGAGUGACAAAUCCCAGUCUCGAUCCGCAUAAAACAAUAGGUACUUUCGGAGAUACCUGUAGUGCACCUUUAUAGUCACCCAGUUACGUUGUGACGUUUGAUACACCCAAAGCACUCCUACGGUAUCCAGGAGUUACACGAUCUCAUGGUCAAAGGAAGAGAUACUUGACAUUGGCAAAGCUCUAGCAAACGAACUACACGAUCUUUGUGCUAUGCUUAGGAUUGGGUCUUGUCCAUCACAUCAUUCUCCUAAUGAUGUGAUCCCGUUAUCAAUGACAUCCAAUGUCCAUAGCCAGGAAACCAUGACUAUCUGUUGAUCACAACGAGCUAGUCAACUAGAGGCUCACUAGGGACAUAUUGUGGUCUAUGUAUUCACAUGUGUAUUACGAUUUCCGGAUAAUACAGUUAUAGCAUGAAUAAAAGACAAUUAUCAUGAACAAGGAAAUAUAAUAAUAAUACUUUUAUUAUUGCCUCUAGGGCAUAUUUCCAACAUCCGGCACCGUCUAGUGUGCGAUCGGAUGUUCUGAGGGAGUUGGUGGGGCGAGCGUCCAUCUCAGAUGAACACCGUAUGCUGAUGGAUACGGUGGUGGAGAGAAUCGCGUCCGCCGAAAGCGGAUUGCAUGAAGCUUUUAUGAGUCUACUGACAGGCUUUGAGGUACGUAAAAAUAAUGUAUGAUAGUCCUGCACAUGCUAGGUGUGCCCUGUGUAGAUAGUAGCCCUUGAGACUCUGGUUGUCGUCGGAAACGAUGACGAACAGAGGAUCGUAUUCUCAGGUAAUAAUCGAACUGCCUUUAUGUGCAGGUGAUGGAAACUCCGGUGGCUGGCCGGACUAGCGAGUUUGCCCAUUUAAAAUGGCAGUUGGAUGCGGCACACGCCGACAUCGAGCUUGUUGACAAAAGGCUUGACGAGGCACAGGGUAAGCGUUAUAAUCUGGUAAACGCCACACAGGAAGAGCAGCAUGAUGCCAGUAUCUUUAACAUGUUGUGACUGCAGAUGGAGCUGCCACUGUUGAAGCCUUGUGGGCAGAACUUGCCCGAGCCAAGGAACAAGCGAGGUUGGGUAAUGCGGCUGCUUUGAAGGCAGCCGAAGAGUUGCGAGCCGAGAAGGCCGCGCAUGGCGAGAGCCGAGAUAAGAUGGCUAAAAUGGCUAUAGAAUUAAAAGCCGCUGCCGACCGUUGCCGGGUUCACGAAAAGGAAAACCAAGCGAAGGCAUCGGACCUUGAGAAGGCUGCGGCAACGAGAAAAUACCUCCGCUCUGCUAUGAGGGCGAAGACGGAGGAGCUGCGGGAAGUCGGGAAAAUUGUAGCUGGGAAAUCCUUUAUGUUGCGGAGGAAGUUCGGAGAUCAACGGUAUGCCCCUCUGGAUCGGCUAUGGAGUUCGGAGGAUGUGUAUAUGGAUUUGGCAGCGAGCGCUGCCGAUGCGGCCAAGUACUUCCGGGGUCAGACGGACCGUGAAGUAGACCAGCUGUUUUGGAGACAAUUCCAUUCUCCCGAGCGUCCGCUUUCAUUGACUGAUCAAUUAGCCGAAUGGGCCGAACUAAAUAGGUUGUCCGGACUCUCCAUGAGGUCUGUUGUGGAUCAGCUAUGGCCGGAAGGGUCAAAACCGAACAACUAUUUCAGCUUGGUGCAGCGAUUCCUUGAUGUGGUGUCGCGCAUUGAUGCGAUGAAGAGGUCGGCGUGCAUAGAGGGCGCAUGGAUGGCCUUUGCCCGUGUGAAAGCACACUGGGUGGAGAUGGAUGCUACCGCUGCUGCAGCGCGGGAUUCGGCCAUAGGUCGAAGGGCUGUUGAGCACUACUUUGAAGAAGUUCUUGAGGGUGCUCGUUUGAUAGAGACCCAGUGCUCAAAAAAUAUUAUGUUUGAGUGAUAUGUAAUCUCAUUGUAAGCGAAAUGCUUUUAUAAAUUUUCAUAAGGCUACUUUUAUAAUUUUGCCUGAAAGUAAUAUGAUGCCUCCUGGGCGGCCGUUUAUGUAUACAUGUGUAUAACCUAAAAGAUUGCAGUCGUCGGCUUCAACCCACACGCAUAUAAUGCGGAGGUGUUCGCAGAAACACACGUUCACACUUAACCCAAUGUCUUGGUCCUAUUAAGGAGGUGAUAGCGGAGCGAGCGAGGCAACCAGACUAUAACACUUUAACACUUUCACUUAGCCAUAGGAGUUUGACAGUGGGGCUACUAGAUAGCCCCUGGUUGCUCCGCACUCUCCCGAUCCCGGGGUGCGUACAUGCCUGGCCAGAAGACGGCCCAUCGUUAAGGCGGAGGAAUUCUAACAUUCCCAUAGGUCAUCGAGUGGUUGACCAGUCUCACACUAUAUCAUGACAGUCAGUUUUCGGCUUUCUCUACUGAGGUCCUCAUCCGGAUGAACCAGGGCACAAUCGCAGUAGUUCUCCUGGUGCUACCUUAGCCGGUAAAGCGGAACGUAAGGCAUCAAAACACAGGAGCCGGGCAAAACCAACAUUUGACCAAAUACAAUGAUUCGGAGCUGAUGCAUAUAGGGCCAAACUCGCGAUGGCGAACACUCCCUAAGGUAUUCAGUCUUUGUGGUAUAAAUCGGGCCUAAAUAAUGGCCUUUGUAAGAAGCCCCUUGUGUCUAGGUACGUGCAUUGUUCUGGCGUGGCCACAUGCCAAGACGUCAGCAUCCUUCUCAACGGUGGAUAUGUAUCAACAAGAGACAGUAAAAAAGGUUUACGCGGGGUCUUAAUAUAAAAAGAAUCCUUGGAGCGGGUCCCAGCUGCACAUCUGCGCCUGUGUCUUCGUUGUGCCGUAUCCUGGACGGGUGUAGCACGAUGAUCGUCUAUAAAAGAGAGGAAUUUAGGUGAAAAAAGUUGUCGUGCAAAAGGAUAGUUUGUUAAAGAAACCAUGCAUAAUUCAAGAUGAGGAGAAAUUGCCACAUGUCUGCGUGCGUUGAGCCCCUUGUAUUGACGAGUAGGGGUGUGACCAUUUAUUCGGUAUAAGUAGCGGCGCCGGACUCGAUUAGUUGUGUGUGAGGUCUUGACGACCUAUUGGAUGCUUUCGCUUGUCCGGGCGCUUUUAGUGUGCGACUGCCAAGGCCGCCUCACUCUCUUCGGCAUGCAGAGAUCGCUUGAUAUUUCCGUGCACUGUAAUGAUGCCACGUGGACCGGGCAUCUUGAGUAUGAGGGAGGCGUAGUGUGGUAUUGCAUUAAAGCGAGCAAAAGCUUCACGUCCGAGCAGUGCUUGAUAGCCACUUUGAAACGGAGCGAUGUGGAAAGUUAAAUUCUCGCGACGGAAGUUAUCGGGGGAGCCGAAUAUAACUUGUAGUAGGAGGGAGCCCGUACAACGAGCCCCUGGGCCUGGCGUUACUCCUUUAAAGAUAGUAUUGCUAUGGCGAAUUUGUGUUGGGUCUAACCCCAUCCCGCGGAUUGUAUCCUGAUAUAUUAGGUUUAGGCUACUGCCGCCGUCCAUCAAGACUUGUGUGAAGUGAUAUCCACCAAUUACUGGGUCUAGUACCAGGGCAGCCCACCCUGCGUGUCGGAUACUUGCAGAGUAAUCGUGAUGGUCGAAAGUGAUCGGUUGAGACGACCAGUGGCAGGACUUCGCGGUGACAGGCACUUGGGUAUGUUUUCCUCGGAGUGCCGCGUUGUUUUUUCCCUUGAUUACGUGUAGCACGUUUACUGUUUUGACUUCUGGUGGAAAUUUCUUUUGUUCCCCCGUGUCUUGCUUGGGAGGCUCGUCCUCAUCUUCACUUGGCGUAUCCUCCUCCUUGUGUACGGCGUUGAGCUUGCCGGACUGCUUGAAGACCCAACAUUCUCUGUGGGUAUGAUUAGAAGUUUUGCCAGGGGUACUAUGGAUCUGACAUACUUGGUCCAGAAUUUUGUUGAGGCUGGACAGUUCAUCCCUGGUGCCUUUAGGGGGCGGCUUUUGACAUGGCCGAGAGCUUUUGAAUCCGCCAUUUACUGUCAUGCCCUUCGUGCUAUCUUCUUUAUUUCGACGUUUGUUAUUGCUGUUGCGCCGUGAUUUCCCGUUUCCAUCUCUAACUUCAGAUGUACUGGAGUCGCUGGUGCUGCAUCUGGCGAGCCAGCUGUCCUCACCCGUGCAAAAGCGGGUCAUGAGGUUUGUUAGUGCGGCCAUCGUUCUCGGCUUAUUUUGGCCGAGGUGUCUGGCGAGCCAUUCGUCACGGACGCUAUGCUUGAAAGCCGCUAAGGCUUCGGCGUCUGGACAGUCGACAAUCUAGUUCUUUUUAGUAAGAAACCUAUUCCAAAGCUUUCGGGCUGACUCUCCGGGCUGUUGAGUUAUAUGACUCAAAUCGUCCGCAUCCGGAGGUCGAACAUAAGUCCCUUGAAAAUUUGCUCGAAAGGCGUCUUCGAGCUCUUCCCAACUUCCAAUGGAGCUUUCGGGGAGGCCUUUGAGCCAGUGACGAGCUGGCCCUUUGAGCUUGAGGGGUAAGUAUUUGAUGGCGUGGAGAUCAUCUUCUCGAGCCAUAUGGAUGUGAAGGAUAUAGUCCUCAAUCCAAACCCCAGGGUAUGUUGUUCCAUCGUAUGCCUCUAUAUUUACGGGCUUGAAUCCCUCUGGAAAUUCAUGGUCCAGCACCUCAUCGGUGAAACAUAGGGGGUGUGCGGCACCCAUGUAGCUGGGUGUACCGCGUUGUUCGGAUGUUUGUUGUGUUGCAUUGUAUGCUUGGGCGUGCUUGCGUGGUCCAUAGAUGGAUCUUGUUGCGCCAUCCUUUGGGUGCGAACCCUCGCCUGGGUCGCGUGUUGUAUUGUGAGCGGCGUUGUAUGCCGCUUUGUGUUGGUAGAGGGGUCGUCUAUCCGACCAGGUGGCUGCUUUGAUUGGUUGUGGGGGGUCUGAGGCUUCCUCAUCGAAUUCGGGUAGCAGUUUCCACUUUGGAUAGCUCUUGGAGGAGCGAUUGUCGCCGUACCUUGCUGCAGUGUUGAGUAUUUUGCUCCAUCUUAAUUGGAGUGUGUCUUGCGCGGCUUUGAGCCUUCGCUUCUGCUUUUUAAGGCUCCUCACGGUGGCAACAAGCCUUUUGCGGGCGUUCUGCUGCUCCGGGUGCCUGUCCGGCGUUAUGUCGUCCGGACCAUUAUCCUUGAUAGGAUUUGUUUGUUCGCUUUGAUUAUUCGGAUUGCCGUUGUCCGGCAGCGGUUUGCCCUGCUCCAGCGCUGGGUCUGUGUGAUCGCUAUUUCUGUUGAGGCGGGAUUUGGGGCGGCGCUUGUGUCGCCGUUUUGAUUGCUUUUCGAGGGAACAAGCCUUCGGUGCGUCGUUCCGCUCCUCGUCGUCAUCCUUUGGUGCGUCCACCAUGUAUACGUCGUAUGACGAGGUGGCGUUCCAGGGCUUAGUAGGCGCUGGUUCUUCAUCGUCUCCUUCAUCGGCGUCAAUACCGUCGAUGUCGUCGGAGUCGAGGUCGAGCAUGUCGGUUAAAUCGUCGACAGUGGCUACAAAGUGGGUGGUGGGUGGGUUUUGAAUUUCUUCAUCGUCCGAACCCCAACCUUGCUGACCGUAGUUCGGCCAGGGCUCUCCUGAUAAAGAGAGAGAUUCUAGUGUCUUCAGAAUAUCACCGAAAGGCGAGUGCUGAAAGAUGUCCGCGGCAGUGAACUCCAUGAUCGGCGCCCAAUCGGAUUCGAUCGACGGGGGCGCGGAGGGUUCGGAGUCUGGAGAGGAGUCCGGCUCCUUUGAAUCACGAGUCUCGCGGAGUGCGGGGCUGGUGUUCGGCUCAAUCGCCGUUGGGAUCGCAGCCCCCGAGGUGGCGUCCAACCGCCCAUCCUCGAUCGGCUCAGUUGGCUCCGAAUUAAGGGUCGAAGCUGAUGGGGUUGCGCCUCCAGGGCACUGUUCGGCGGCAGAGCUAGAUCAUGCUCGUCGGGACAGUGCGGCGCGCUCGGCAGUGGCUCGAAUCCGUCAAAGAUCAAGUCCCCGCGGAUGUCAGCCGUGUAGUUUAAACUUCCGAAUCUGACCUGACGGCCAGGGGCGUAGCUUUCGAUCUGCUCCAGAUGGCCAAGUGAAUUGGCCCGCAGUGCGAAGCCGCCGAAGACGAAGAUCUGUCCGGGGAGGAAGGUCUCACCCUGGACUGCAUCGCUAUCGAUGAUCGUAGGAGCCAUCGAGCCUGACGGCGACGACCCAGAGGAACUCUCAAUGAAAGCACCAAUGUCGGUGUCAAAACCGGCGGAUCUCGGGUAGGGGGUCCCGAACUGUGCGUUUAGGCCGGAUGGUAACAGGAGGCAAGGGACACGAAGUUUUACCCAGGUUCGGGCCCUCUCGAUGGAGGUAAAACCCUACGUCCUGCUUGAUUAAUAUUGAUGAUAUGGGUAAUACAAGAGUAGAUCUACCAAGAGAUCAGAGAGGCUAAACCCUAGAAGCUAGCCUAUGGUAUGAUUGUUGUUGUCUAUGUUGUCCUACGGACUAAAACCCUCUGGUUUAUAUAGACACCGGAGAGGGUUAGAGUUACACAAAGUCGGUUACAAUGGUAGGAGAUCUGAAUAUCCGUAUCGCCAAGCUUGCCUUCCACGCCAAGGAAAGUCCCUUCCGAACACGGGACAAUCUUGUAUCUUCAUAAUCCAGGAGUCCGGCUGAAGGUAUAGUCCGGCCAUCCGGACACCCCCUAAUCCAGAACUCCCUCACCACAUAACCAAGAUCUAGAUGUAUUCAACCAGUGUCGGCCGACGGUAUCAGAAAUUCGUCAGCAUGACACAUGGCAAGCAAAACCCAAAGCACUGGAAAAUGGAUGAAGAUACGCGAUCACAUGGAGGUGAUGGUGAAGGGUAAUGAUCCACGGCCGACCGCUUGACCGUCUCGUUGGUUAAUCUUAUGGCUGACAUGAAGAAGAAAGAAAGAACUACGAUAGGGAACCUUCGGGAUUAAUAAAGUGGUGUUGAUGGAGAACCUUUUGCAGAGAAAUAAUCUAUUGAUGGGAGGGGAAAAAAUGAUGUCAGCAAAUGACACGACAUCAUCAAAACAUAGGGAAAAUUUAAAUUCUAUAGUGGGAGGCACAUACUUAGAAUUUAUAAGAUGCAGAAAUGUAGUUUGGUGCUCGAGCUUCAUGGAGCUCAUUUUAAAAAAAAUCAAAGAAAAUAUUUCAAUGUUUCACAAAAAAAUCACUCUAGAAGAUGGCUUUCUCCAUGAUAUGUGAUCUAAGGAUUACGAUGGUUGCUGAUUUGUGAAACAAAUUGCUACCUGCUUUGUGCGAUGCCAGCCAGCUUUCUCGCGCAAUUGCAAUGCGCGCAUGGAAAAAUCUGCUAGUGACAGUGAUGUAUACCAGCAAACAGUGGUCGCACGAACUCAAGAAAUAUCCGUCAAUUAGCCGUUGUAUCACCUUUUGAAAUCGCUCACUAGGAAUUAUAAAACAAAUGGCUAGGCGGUCACGAUCACACCACACCGCGGACAAACAAGACUUUCACGAUCAGCAUAGCUAGGUUGGUCGCCGAACCCCUGACCUUAGUGCUCGUUCAAAUCCUACCGGUUACGUACUCCCGCUGCUUAUUUUUCACGAGCACCGCUCGCCUUGCGUAUCCAUUCAAAUUCUCGAGCUCUUCUUCCUUUUGGAAGCGGCCGGCGGGGACGGCUGUUGUGUUGCGCGGCGUCGUCCAAGCGUCAAUUUAUGCCAACCUUUGAAUUAACUUUCACGAACUCCUCUUUCCGUUGGGCAACGACUGGAGUACUCAACGUACGAACAACCAUAUCUGCCGUAUAGUACGUUCGAUCGGGUGACAUGCACCGUAGAUGUAUGCAUGCAACAUGCACCGUAGAUGUAUGCAUGCAACAUGCAUGCUUCAUUUUUGGAAUAGUGUCAGUCAACAUGGUUACUGUAUUUACCCGCAAAUAAAAACAUGGUUAGUGUAUUGAUUAGGAUCGCACGUGUCCCGGUUAACCCUAAAUUAACAUGGAUUCGUGUCGAGGCUAGGUUAGCUAAAUUAAAUGCAGUGCUCCAACAGCCCAAAUUAAAUGCAGUAUCCCAGUUCAAAUUCAGCUAGCUAGCGGUAGGAGUAACCUUUUUUGGUGUGUGUGUGUGUGAAUAGAUGAAACGAUUUCACAAGAUUCCUGUGCUUCUCGCCACCUUCCACGCACAAAAAAGUUGUUUCUUCAAACAAAGGCACACGAAUCUUCUAGCAAAACGUAGCCGGAGCGUGGCACCAUAAACAGAGUCACACGAACUCACCGCUAGCUGCCUCCUACAUGCAUGCAUGGCACGAAGCACGUACGCAUUAUGACGCCAAGUCAUGAACACAACUCACAAGAGGAAAAAUAAAAAUAAAUGGGAAAAUAAUAUAGAAGUAGUAGUACGUAAAAGCUUGGCAUACUGUCUGAAACACAUCGCGAUACAGUUUGUGUAUGGAAUGGGAAUGCUAUGUCGUUUUGAGCGCAAUGUCAUCAACAUAUAUGUGCAUACUCCCGGCUAACCCUAAAGGAGUAUCUUACGGUCAGUUUCUCCUUCGUGGAUUUGUAUCGUGUUACUGAUCCACAUUAGGCAGCAUCAUUCUCUUGAUUUAGAUGAAAUUAGUUAGGUCAGUCAUUUCUUCUUUUAUCUUCUAGGCAAGAUGCAUUGGCUAUGUCAUUUGGAUUUAAUGUUUCAUCAAUUGUGUUUGUAUUUGUGUAGUCAUGAAGAUGAAAACAAUAUAUACAUCUUUUAAAUAAUUAUAGGCACAUUUGAUCUUAUUGGCAAAAAAACCAAAUUUAAACUAAUAUAAAAUGCAACCUUUUUGCAUUGCUUCAUUGAUUGUGAUAUCUAUCGAAAGCAUUCAAUAUAUCUACUAUGUUAUCUUUCUUUUUCUGGUCAUCGUCUCUUGCCCCAUCACACCCUUAAGUUCAAAUUCUGGCUCCGCCCCUGGACCCAAGUUGAAGCCAAACAUGAAAACAUUACAUACACUUUCUAGUUGAAGAGUAGAAACAAUGUGUUUUUGGAACAAAAAAAAUGAGUUUACAUUACAUUAUUUCUCCUUAAUUAUUUGUGGGAACUAAAGUGUUUCUUGUGAAUGAUAUUCUUUUUGACAUGGCAUGCACAAUUAAAGCCCCUGACACAAUCCCCAUAGAUAUUUGUGUUAGAUAAGUAAGAACUCAUUCAAACAAAAAUUCCAACUUGAUUUCCUAAAGGAUUCUAAAACCCACACUUUAGAGUUAAAAGCAAAAGCCCAAAUUAUAGACUUUUAUGUCAAAAUCCAAAGCCGGAUAUUUUGGAUAAAAGCAAAAAGUCCAAAUUAUACACUUUAUAGACUUUUAUGUCUAAUUCAACUUGAAGGCAAAUCUCAUUAGUAGAAGAUAUUUUGGAUAAAAAAGUUUUAAAUGCCUAGAUCACCACAACCUUUUGGUUUGGAAACAUUUUUCCAAGUGAUAAGACACUAAGCUCCACUGCAAGUUUUGUUGGUCAUCCAGAAAAAGGCCCUACGAAUCGUGUCUAGCUCUUUCAGAACUUUUUUAGGAAGAUGGAAAACAGACAUGGAGUAGAUUGAUAGGGAGACUAAGACAAAAGAAAAAAGAGUUAACCUAGUACCUUUGGUAAGUAAGACAACUACCCAUUGCAACGGAAAUUUGUAAAGGUUUGCACGACGGGGUGGAAGACCGAGGAGGGGAGCUUAGUGUGAGAGGGCGGUAAACUAAGGUAGGUUUGAGGAAAGGAGGAAAUAGGGGAACCGAUGGCGUCGACAACGGAAGGGUCUGUAUGAAGAGCUAACCUGAGGGCCAGCUCUUUGGGGGCUUAUGGGUUAGUGCCACAAUAAGCUACCCCUACCCAGCUUAUUCUGGUAGGCCAACAUAAAAAUUUAUUCUAGAAGCCUACUAAGUAGGUUGCUUCUUGCUCUGAGUAUGUAAGAGGCGACUAAGAUUUGAAAUAGGUUGGUUCUUGUCACGUUGUUGCAAAGAAGAAGGGCAUGUUGGCUUCAUGUAGAAGGCAAGGAUGUUUUUUACCCGGUGGAGGUGUUAUCUCGGGACGGUAGAUCCCAACACAUUUUUCUCCUUUCUGCCAAGUGCCGGUGGAGGUCUUAUCUCGAGAUGAUAGAUCCCAACACGUUUUUCUCCUCUCCGCCACGUGUUUCUCACCCCCUUCGCAUUUUCCCUCUUGCAUCACGACUUCUUCCCUUUCCUUUUCCCCUCGGCAUAGUAAAAAGGAACGGGUGGAUCACCCCCUGGCUCGCCCCUUCUCUCAUGGUUAUUGGGUUUAAUUACUGCCUUGUUAUCACAUUAGUAUCUCAAUGGUACCUAUCAUCCUUAUCACACCAGCACCGCUUGGUUAUCAUAUUCAUCAAUUCUUUGAUACCCUUAUCUCAUCGCCAUACCGUUCAAAGUUCUUCAACUCUAACGCCCAUUGGCACUACUCCAUAAUUUUGUGCUAUUGGUGGCAUCAUCGGCCGAGCAUUGUUAGACACAAGCUGAAGCGGAUCAAACCAUGACAUGACCAAACAUUUUAUUUGACAACCGUGGUUAAAAGAAAACCAGUGGUCUUCAAAUGAAUACUUGAGCCUAUACCUGGCCAAACCUCGGGCCGGGCCUAGCCAAGCCCGAGCCAAAAAACCUGGGCCCGAGCCCGGCCUGGCCCGGCCAUCGGGCCUAAUUUUUGGGCCCAAGCCCGGCCUGAACAUGCAAAAGCCCGCCGGGCCUCGGGCCUCGGGCCGGGCCCCUUCAAAAAACGGCAAAAAUGACGGGCCCGGGCCCGGCCCGGCCAGGCCACCGGGCACAAAAUCUAGGCCCGAGCCCGGUCCAGAAGCAGCGUCGGGCCGAGCCGGGUCGGGCUUUUUCGGGCCGGGCCGGGCUGCCCAUGGCCAGGUCUACUUAAGCCUACUCUACCAACAGCAAUGCAGUGUGAUAAUAGUAACCUUGUUCCCACUACUACUGGACGAUGAGAUCUACUGUAUUGGUUCUCUUGUACCCUUUGCAAUCUCUGCACGUGGCUUUUGGGACAAAGUUUUUGGCACUCACACGCUGUCACGCAGUAGGGGUGUAGGGGGGUCGUCGUCUCUCUCCCAAAGAACACUUCCCUUUCACGCCAUGGCCCCCAUCUUUAAAAAAAACCUCCACUCCACUCCCGAGAGAGGAAAUUCCCUCACCCUCUUCCUACUCUACUCACCCACACCACCGCCCACCCCACUCUUCUUCCGGUCUUCCUCGCUGUCUUCUUCCCCAGCCCUCCAGUUCGAAAAUUCCCACCCUCGCGCCCAAACUCCAAACCCUAGCCGGUCCGGUCCGGCCCAGCCCCCCCUCCGCCCCGCCGGCCCCGCGCGCGGAACAUGCGGGAUCUGGGCCCAUGGCGACCGGCCCCGAUCUGACCUCCUCCUCCGCCGCCGACGCCGCCGCCGCCGCCGCCUCGUCGGCGGCCAAGAAGGACCGCCACAUCGUCAGUUGGAGCGCCCAGGUGCGCAACUGCUGUGCUCUUCUCUCCGUCUCGCGGUUGCGGAAUUUCUUUUGCGUUUGUUUGCGCUUCCCCACUGGAUUUUGGGAUUUCUCUGGCUUGCCUCGGAUUUGGGACUUUGCUUCUGUUCCCCUUUUUGAUUUGGCGAAAAAAGAGAGAAGCGAUUUUGGGCGUGUUUGGGCUAUAAUCCGCUGUUGUCACAGUUCUAUUGUUGAUUCUUGGACUUCAUAGCCCAAUUCCCCCUUUCCCCAUGCUAACCGUGACAAAUUGUUCCUUCCAACAUGCCACUCCUUGGAUUGCCUUCGAGUUUAUCCUUGGAGUACCUCUGCGGUUCUACUCGAUGGUUAAAUUGCUCUCUGAUGCUUCCAACUUCUUCCCUGUAGGAGGAUGACGUGCUUCGCGCUCAGAUUGCGCACCAUGGAACUGACAAGUAUGGACUACUCCUGUUUGUUACCUAUCCUCACUUGCAGCAAGGCUUCUCAAAUUAAUCACGGCGUUUUCUUUUGCAGUUGGACAGUCAUAGCCACACAAUUCAAGGAUAAGACUGCCAGGCAGUGCAGGAGGAGGUGUGUACCUCCCUCUUCCGACGGGGAUCUCUUGUUCUAACAUUUCUGGUGUUAUAACACUUGUUCAGUUCUAUUGUUUAAAGCAUUUGUUCCGCUUGAUUUUUGCUGCAGAUGGUACAAUUAUUUGAAUACAGAGUGCAAGAAAGGCGGGUGGUCUCGUGAAGAGGAUAUGCUUUUAUGUGAGGUGAGAACUUGGUGUGUUUCUAGCAUUUUAAUUACUAUAGGCGGCUAGGCGUAGGCAGUGAGUCUGCUUGAAAUUAAGCACUGCUGCAUCAGAUAGUUAAUUUUUAAGGGCCAAAUUUCAUCUCUGGGAGUAGGACAGUAUGCUUCGUGUCAUGGUCCUCAACCUCAUAUGACAUGAAGAAAGGGGUUGGAGAUAGAAAUCGAGUUCAGGACAUUGGCUAGAAAGGAAAAAUAGUUAUCACCUUUAGCUUAACUUGUGUGCAGAUUGGAUCCUAUCCUUGAUUGCGUUCCUUUGGGAAAAUGAUGGAUUUGUUUUAUGAACUGUAGGACGUAUGAUUGUUAUGUUCUUUUGUAGAUGAGUAACUGCGUGAAGGGACCAUGCAUUGCUUAACGUCUCAUAAUACCAUUAUCAUUCCUUUGAUUAGACUGCAAUUUGUGUUAUGAUACAUUUGCAAUGUUGCAAAAAGAAAUUAGAAACCACCUGAUGUACAUUGUGCUGGUGUCUUCAUAACUAUCAGUUAUUGCCGUACAACUCCUGCAACACCAAAUGAUAAUCUUGGACUUGUCAUGCAGGCUCAAAAGCUUCUUGGUAACAAAUGGACUGAAAUAGCAAAGGUUGUCUCAGGCAGGUGAGUUUCUUGCAUUUGGUUGCUGUUUGCUGUAAGGUGAAAAGGAUAUUAGUUACUCCCUCUCUACCGGUUUAUAAGGCCUGCGCGUAUCACUAGAUCAUCCAUUUUAUCAAUGAAAUAUGAGUUAUAUGCCACAAAGAGUAUACCAUUGAAGUCAUAUUCGAUAGAAGUUUCUAACAGUAUACCUUUUGUAAUACGUUUGUCGAAUUGGCGAUCUAGGGAUACACGCAGGCCUUACCGACCGGGAGGGAGUAUGUGAAACAAGAUAUCUGACAUGUGAAUGUUUGGUUUGCCUACUACAGAACUGAUAAUGCAGUGAAGAAUCGAUUUUCUACGUUAUGCAAAAGGCGGGCCAAGGAUGACGAACUAUUCGAGGAAAAUGGCACAGUAUGCUCCAAUGCAAGUGCAAAGAGGGUACUGACACAGUCUGGUGGCGUCACAUGUGCUGCACCUGGCUCCUCACCACCUAUUAAGAACAUGAGGUACACACAGUACCAGCAGAAGCUGUUGGUUAAUUAUGUGAAUGAACUUACACACUUUAACUUGUUCUUUCUGCAACCAGCUCUUGCAAACCUGAUUUCAAGGAGAACAUAGCACCAAAUAUGAAGUCAUUUGCACAGCAAAAGAGCAUACAACAGGAUUCUCGGCAACCCCUUGCUAGCAUUUGUCCAGACAAUCAGAGUGUGAAUAUUGUAAAAACCCAGAGUCUUGUCACUAAAACCUCAACAAAGCAAUUACAUGGCGAAGAACAGAGCUGUGAGCCUAUUAUCCCAGAUUCUGAAUGUUUAACUUGAUUCAUGUGUUGUGUCAAUGUUUGAACCUGCUCCAUGUGCAUAAUUUCAGGUGUGAAGCAUGAGGGUAAUUUUUUGAAAAGGAAUGAUCCAAAACUUGCUACUUUACUUCAGCAAGCUGACUUGCUUUCUUCCCUAGCAACAAAAGUAAAUACUGAAAAUACAAGCCAAAGCAUGGAUGAAGCCUGGCAGGUAUGGCAUCGCCAGUUUGAUGGUCUGAAGUAGAUUUGUAGUUUUACAUUUUAAAAUAACUGUUUUAUGCUUGACCUUUCAGAAACUACAGCAUCAUUUGGUUAAGAAAGAUGAUAAUGACAUGUCAGAGAGCAGUAUGUCUGGAACAGCUUCACUCCUAGACGAUCUCGACGAUUUAAUUGUUGAUCCCUAUGAGAAUGAAGAAGAAGAUGAACAGAAGUCCAGGUAUAUAAUGAAUAAUAUCUCAUCCUUUUGGUUACUAUUCUAUGGCCUCAGCUAUUGAUCCACCACCAUUCUGAUGAACAGAGAGCAGAACGGAGCAACAUCACAAAUGGCUCCUGAUCAAAUAAUGGAUAAUUGCCCAGUAGAUCAAAUCGCAGAAGAAAGUAGCCUUUGUGGAAACACACUAUCUAGUACUAUGGAACCUUGCCCAGGUAACCUAUGCUCUUAAUCUGAAUUUAGUUACAUGCCUUUCCAUCCACAUCGAAGAAGAUUAAUUGAAAUUUGAAGCUAAAUCAGUUGCAGAAAUUCUAGCUCAUAUAAACUUGGGUGAGGCUGCGGAAGAUAUGGGGCUUCAUUUCAUGGAAUACAGUUCUCCUACUCGUGCAGCUCAAGCUCAGCAAGCUAAAGCAGAUGCAGAAAUACCAGCGUCUGUAGACUUGAGUGAGUCUGCCGAAGGUAGCUGGUCUCAGUUUAUGGAAUACACAUCUCCCGCUCAUACAGUUUUGCAUGCUAACAGUUCUCCUGCUCAUACAGUUCAAGCUGAGCAGGCUAAAGCAGAUGCAGAAAUACCAGUGUCCGUAGACUUGAGUGAGGCUGCCGAAGGUAGCUGGUCUCAGUUUAUGGAAUACACGUCUCCUGCUCAUACAGUUUUGCAUGCUGAAGGAGAUGCAGAAACACCAGCAUCUGUAAAGUUGAGGGAGGCUGCUGAAGGUAGCCUGCCUCAGUGUAUGGAACAUAUGUCUCCUGCUCAUACACUUCUGCGAGCUAAAAGAGAUUCUGAAAUACCAGCAUCCGCAAACUCGAAUGAGGCUGCAGAAGGUAGCUGGUCUCAAUUUAUGGAAUACAUGUCUCCUGCUCAUAUAGUUUUACAUGCUAAAGCAGAUGCAGAAACACCAGCAUCCGUAAAUUUGGGUGAGGCUGCCGAAGGUAGCCUGCCUCAAUGUAUGGAACCCAUGUCUCCUGCUCAUACACUUCUGCGAGCUAAAACAGAUUAUGAAAUACCAGCAUCAGCAAACUUGAGUGAGGCUGCCAAAUAUGACAGUCUUCAGUGUACAGAAUGCACCUCUCCUGCUCGUGCAGAUUUGCAAGCUAAAGCAGAUGAAGAAAUAUCGGAGAAUUUCAGUGAGGUUGCCCAAGAUAGCAGGCUUCAAUGUGCUAAAUUUACUUCCCUUGCUCACACUGCUAGCAAAGGUAAAGCAGUUGCGAAGAAAGGAACUUCAGAGAACUGCAGCGACGUUCCCGAAGAUAGCAGCACCCAGCCAUGCAUGGAAUUCACCUCUCCUGCUCACACAGUUCCAACUUUCCAUCCAUUCACAGAUAACGUGCCAACUCCAAAAAUUACUGCCAGUGUAAGCUUUUGACUUAUGUAGCCUGUCAUUGUUAGUCUUAUUUCACACACAAUAACAUACCUGAAUCAAACACUUGGUAGUUACACAUGUAUUGUAUUUGUUGAACUUUUCAGGAGAGAAAUUUUUUGCUGUCUGUGCUUGAGUUGGCCUCACCUGGAUCGAAGCCAGAAACUUCUCAGCAGCCUUCUUGCAAAAGGGCUCUUCUUAAUAGCCUUUGAAGGGUAUAUAUAUGUUCGAUGCAAAUACAUUUUGCAUUUUUCGGUUCUCACCGUAUCCAGCUCCAAGCCCGCCAUGCUCCUCAGCAUGUAUACCUUGGCUCCCCUAGAUCUAAUUUUAACUAGGGUAGUUCUCCCUACUCCUAUUUGCAUCAAAGUGUGCCUAGCUCGUGUCAUAGUUCAGCUGUUUGUAUGAGGUCUCAAUAGCUUGGUUUGUUGUCGUUGGUUGUACAUAUCGCAUUGGCGGUGUUGUAGUAGCAUACAAAAUUUGGAAAAAAGGGGGGUGAUGUACCCUGAGAGUUACAGCUUGUAUUCAAAAUAUAGAAUAAGGUAUUCUUUGUGUAAUUAACCCUUUGUAACUU